CCGGGUUCAAAUCCGCCUGCCGGCUCCUCGGGUGUUUGAGGAGUGAUGAAAUGGGAGGUGGCCCCCCAUCUUAUGGACGGUGUAGGACGUGAUAAUAUCAACUUGCGAGCUGACCAGGAACUAAGUUGAUGCGCCGUUGAUCCGCUAGAUUUGGUUGGAUGCUGGUGGUGAGUUGCCGAACCCAACGAAUACAUUCUGAAGUCGGAUGGGGUGACGGAUUAGGGUGCCCCUCUAGCAGGGGAGAGCAGGGACUGCCCCGGGAAAGGGGGCCGCUGGCGAAGUUAACCACCCUGUAACAACAUACAUACAUAGCUUUGCCCUAGCUGAGACUUGUGGACUCGCUCUAGCGGGACCUGAGAGCCCUUCGUGGUGUAUUCAAUGCAGCGCCAUCCCCGGAUGGAGGGGCUGCGGAGUGGCUGCGUAGAGUGUUGGCAGUCUGAGUCGGGGUCGGGAGCACACAAGACUAACCGACUUGUGCUGUGUGCUCCCGACCCUAGCGCUGCGUUUAGGCUUCGGCCCCCGGCUCUCGCGGCCCACAGUGUAAUCUAAGUCAUACAUACAUACAUACAUACAUACAUACAUACAUACAUACAUACAUACAUACAUACAUACAUACAUACAUACAUACAUACAUACAUACAUACAUACAUACACACACAUACAUACAUACAUACAUACACACAUACAUACAUACACACAUACAUACAUGCAUACAUGCAUACACACGUACCUGCGCCGCGUUGCCGAAAUUAUUGUUUAGAUUGGUGUGGCUGAUGGACAGGUUGCCGUCGGAGUUCUGGUUGCGGUGGUGCAAGUCCAUGAGGCCGGUGUCCGAGGUGUUGCGGGGGGGCGGGGCGCGGCGGCGCAGCGGCCUGGCGGGCUUCUGCAGCUGCCGCAGCAGGUGGGCGCGGUUGAUCAUCUGGCGGGAGAAGAGGGUGGGUGGGUGGUGGGGUGGGGUGGAGAACAGACCGGAGGGACGAGGAGAGGGAUGAAAACGGCGAAGCGAGAACAAACAUGCUUUUUGUCAACCAACCCUGCAUAACCAGUCUUCACUACAUGCUUGCAUUGCCGACUCCCGCGAUGCGGAGGUCUGGUAUACGUAUCUCAUAUCGGAGCCCUCCGCAGCGGGGCCCUCUCACACCCCCCUGGGCGGGAAGGACCGACCGCGGCUCGCACAUCCCCACUGUAUUACCUCCUCCUCCCCCGGCCGACUCGCGGCACAGCGCCUGACCAACAACCUAGAUCUCGACACAUGAUGCGCCCAGACGCCUUUUCAGCGCCCACCUAGAACCCACUGCCCCUGCACUCCCCCUCCACCACGCCCACCUCCACCACCACAGCGUCUGGCCCCCUACAAGCACCUGGCAAAGACGGUUGCAUGCUUUCCGCACCUGCUUUCCGCAUCUGUCACAACCCAGCUGUAUAUCCCAAAGCGCUGUCGGGUCCUGUAUUGUUUCUUCGCCUCGUCCUCCCCACCCCCGUCUGCCCUCAUCACCCCCACCACACAACCCCUAUAGUCCCCGCCCCGCCCAGCCCCACCUUGACGGCGUACAGCUGGCCGUCCAGCGUGUUGAGGCAGAGCUUGACCUUGCCGAAGGCCCCCCUGCCCAGCGUCUUAACCACCACGUACUGGUUGAUGACAGUGGCGCCGCUGGCGUCGCGGACAAACUCAAGCUUGUUGGUCUCCUGCGAACCGAGGGCAAGUGUGGUGAGUGCAGGGAGGGGAGAGUGGGUAGGUAGGGUGGGUAGGUAGGGUGGGGAGGGUCGGAGUGGGGCGUGAGGUGCAGUCGGGCGGGAUAAGGAUCCGGAACGGGAGAGAGUGUUUCCUGUGUGGGUGCGGGAAGGGUGGGGGUCCUAGAGCUGGCCCUUGUCCUCCCCCUGGACUUUCGGGCUUUGGGGUCGCUCGGUCAUAUCCAGGUUCCAUGCUGGUCCCUCCCUCCCCCCACAUCUCUCCCCCUGCCGCUGCUUCCGCUCCUUCCACCCCAUCCCCCGGAGCGCCCCACCACCCAGAUGGGCUGCGGGGCCGCCAGCUCAACCGUCUGGCUGGUUGGCUCUGUGAGCCGGCGGGAAAGCCGCUAACCGCCCAACCGCCUGGGGCUCCAAGCUCCCUGCAUGGCUACAUGGCUGCUGCUGCAACAGCUGCUCAACUGGUCUUGCACGGCGGCUGCACCCCCCUUCCCUCACUGGCCAUCUUACGGCCCCUGGGUUGUAACCAACACAACACAACACACACACGCGCCCGCCUGCACAACCACCUUCAAGGUACACCCGCUACUCACGCAGCCCUGCACGAUGCGGCACGGCAGGGGCCCCGCCGGCAGUUAGCACCGGCCCGAGGGACUUCUCCACGUCUUCCCCCCUCCCCCUCUCGCUGCUGACUGCUGCCGUGUGGCCGCCCCACGUGUGCACUUGCAUGACUCUUGACUCUGACUCUCUCUCUCUCUUUCCCAUGACUCUUGACUCUGACUCUCUCUCUCUCUCUCUCUCUCUCUCUCUGUCUCUUUCUCUCUCACACCUCACACACACAUAUACACAGUCCGUCACCCGCUUGCCGACCCCCGCGCGGACUCUGCUGUAUGACUCUGACUGCCUCCCCAAUGGCAGGGGCUCCGAACGGCUUCUUGGCGAGGCUGCCGCUGCUGCUGCUGCCGAUACCGCCGCUUCUGCCUUAUGGACAGUCCUGUCAUGGCCUCAGCCGCCCCAUGAACGUCCGUUUUUACCGGGAGGCGUCUUGGCGGGGGUGGGGCCCUAGGAGCAGGCGCCCGCCCUCCCCGAGCGGCCAUCCGCGUGCUGCUGCCUGCUUCGUGUUGGUUUGCUGCUGCUGCUGCUGCCGCUAAGGGUCAUUAUGAAUAUAGAUUGGUGAUGAUGGUAUGGUGAUUACCCUGACAAUCUGCUGCAUUGGAGCAUCUGGCUACGGUGGCGACUAGCAGCCAAACCUCCCCCUUCAUAGGUGGAACUGGGGCUGCCGCCCUCCCCCGGCAGUGCUGGCGGCCGUGGCGGUAAGUGCUGUAGCUGCUGCUGCUGCUGCUGCCAAUAGUGGGCCCCUUCUUCCCUCCCCACGGCAAUCACAGCUUUGCGUCCAAGGCGCGAUCUUCCUUCCCCUCUCCUCGCCACAAGCUACACCUCGUCAGCCAAACCACAUCGUGAAGCGGUCUCUUCAACUGCGAACGCGAAUGCCCGGGUCUUAGCAAUAUGCAGCAAUGCCCCCUGUCGUAGCUGCUAUGCCCCUGCUAGAGCUGCUGCCGGGGCUGAGGACGGCGAAGAUAACGCAUUGCCAAGUUCAGUACGAUGCAGUACGGCAUCGGCCUCUCGGUACCUCUGCUUAUAGAGAUUUUCACUUGGCUGCACGCGGAUGUGCGUUCGUUGCCCUGGCAGGUGAUCGCCGCCACCGCCGCCGCCGCCGCUCUGGCGCAUCCGGCACCGUCACCUCCGCUGCAGCCGCUACCUGGCGCCGUGAGACCACCUUGCCGUACCGCUGGCAAUCAUUGGCGACAUAGCAUCGCCGCCAAAGCCGCCAUGGCCGCUACCGCUAUCACCUUAACGACUUGAUGGUGAUGCUGGUGUACCCGGCUGCUCAACCACCCACCCCGAACCCCUCCUACCUUUGCAAGGCUGGAGAUGCCCUUCAUGCUCGCCUGCACCUUGGCGUACAAUCCGCUGUCCUGCAAAUACGAACAAGUGUACGGCAGCGUACGAAUAGUAGUGGUAAAGUCACUAAACCGCUGUCACCCCGCUUACGACUCUGUCACGUGCUGUCUGGCAAGGCUCGGCACUAGCUUCGGCGACUGCUUUCCCUAAGGGCCCCUACACCAGCUCUUCUGGCUCCACCCCAGUCCUUUCCAAACCCUACCUCGCGCCGCCGCAGCACUGCCAAACCCGGCCUCCCCCCGAUGGCACAUCACCACCUCCCCAGACACGGCCAUUAUUCCUCACAUCCCCCUCCUCUCCGCUACAAAAACGAUCCCCCACUCGCCUGCAACAUGAGCUUCUCCACUGCCUUGUGGAGCGCGGCGAGGCUGCUGGAGUGGGUCUGGGCGUGAGCGCCACUCAGCAUCCUGCUGCUCAUGUGCGAGGGCCGGUCGGCGGCGGCUCCCACGUAGCCGGCGCAGCUGGUGUGGGAGUUUGCCGGCACCUGAGCGCCAGUCAUCUGGAUGGUGCCGCUCCCGCCGCCCAGGAACGCCGGAGUCGGCCGUGUGAUGUCCUCCUCGAAGCUGGGGCGCUGGCCGCUGCUGCCGCCCAUCAUGUCCGGCAGCCGUAUUAGCAACGACGGCGGCAAGCCGCCGGGCGGGAAGCCCGGUGCCGCGAGCCGGGACAGCGCCGCCGGUGGUUGUGCGGGUGCCAGGCCUAGGCUGGCGGCAAGGGUGACGGCGGCGGGGCUGCCGGAACCGGUGCCGCCGCCGCCGGAGGUGACGGCCGUUGCGCCGGUAGCGGCUGCGCCGCCAUUACCCACCGGGACCGGGGUUGAUGCCGCGGACAGUUGCCGCUGCUGUGCCGUACUGCCGGGACCCUGGAGCAGUAUGGAUGACGUCACUGACAUCUGGCUGGUGACGGGGCUGUCGCUCUGCAUGCGGGUGUAACCGGACGCCAUGUCACCACCGCCGCCGUUGCCACCACAGCCGCCGCCGCCGCCACCUCCGUCGCCCUCCAAAGCACUGUACUGCAAUGACGUCACGUCCUCUUCCUCAAUGUUCUCCGGGACACUUUCCUCCGGAAGCAAGCCCCCGGAGAGCGGCGGACGCAUCAGCGGCGACUUGCGAGUGCCGCCACUGCCACCGCCAGCGGGAGUGAUGCCCUCGCGCUUCAUGGCUGGCAUUGAUGCGUGGCGGUUCGGUGGCCUCCUGUGGUGGCCUGGCUGGUGGUUGAGCCGAAUAGCAACACGGGAGACACCGUUACCGGGCGCGGACGCAUCCACUGCAACGGCGGCAGCGGUGGCUGCCCGUGCGACGGGCCCAUAAGGCCCCUGCGGGUGCGCCGCCGCCGCCGUCGGCUGUUCCCCUGCCGUCGGGGUCCCUUGUGCCGAAGAUGACAGCGCAUCCGGCGACCGAGGCUCCAUCCCCAUGUUCGCCAUUGUGAGCGACCGAAUCGCCCGGCGCGCACGAGCCCGCUCCAGGAGGUCGUCCUCCAUGUCCGAUGGAGUUUGCCGUACAGUGAACGACGACUCGGCACUUGGUGGCUCCCGGCCAGGACCGCCGUCCGCAAACAGCUCCGAGACCGUUGCGAAGCCGGCGGAGCCAGUUGGUGUCAGCCGAUUGUGCGCUGGCCCUUUGCUCCUUCCAAUGAAGCUGGCAGACCCCUUAUCGACGCUGGCCGGAGGGGUACCGCCGGCGGAGCUACUGCAGGCGCCACUCAAGGCUGCUGACGCCGUCCAAGCCCCCGUGGCCCCAACCCGCGGAUUCUCGGGUGACGGUGCCGGCAGGUCAGAGAAUUGCGGCACCGUACUACCAAACGCCUCCGCUGCCACGGAGCUGGCGCCGGCGUUGCCGCCCGAGUCUACCUCCCCCUGCACGGCACCCCGCAACCGCUGCUGGCUGUGACGCGAGCUGCUGCCGCAUGUCGCGACGGAAGUGGCAGAGACUGGCCCAACGGUGGCAGCGCCUGCGGCAGCAGCGGUGCCGUCAAUCGCAGUGCUGUUCCAGCUGCCGCUCAAGCGCUCCGAAGCCGUCGCCGCUACGCGCAACCGGGAGUGGCGGACCGGCAUCGCCGCCCCGAGGGAAGUUCUGGGUCGUUCCACCGGCGCCGCGGCCGUCCACACCUGCUCAGAUGCCGCACCAACAGGCUGCUGGAUGCUGCCCUGAAAACUCCGUACAGCAGAUUCGCGUUCUGGGGCAGCAGCAGUGGCUGCACCGCUCGUACCCGAGCCCGCCGCUGCUCCCGAUGAAACGCCCGCGCUAGCGGCGUUCACUGCGGCGAUAGAUGAGGGUGAGGCGGCGCAGGGGGAGGCAGCAGAGGGGGAGGAGAUGCCACCGCCGCCGCCGGGUACAGUCCGUGAGGACAGGCCCCCCUGAUCAUCUCCGGCCGUCCAUUGCAAACCGUUGCGCUGGUGUAAGCUGGAUGCGGACACUGCCAGCCAGUGGCCCCGUGGGGCAUCGGUUGUUGGGCUGGUUAUGGUCGCGGACGGAGCGGCGGCGGCGGCGAGGCCGCUGCUGCCGCUGGGCUGCACCACCAGAGACCCCGCAGAAGGCGGCUGUGAUAGCGGGGCAGUGCUGGGGCUACGCGGCGGGGGACAAGGACAGUCCGCCGGUGAGGAGAAUCCACCGGCGGCGGCGCCGGCGGCGGCUCCGCUGCCACCAGUUGCCCCACCGGCACUCAGAGCCUGCUGUGCGAUGGCGGCGGCCGUAGCCGUGGGUGUUCCGUUCUGUCCGUUCUGUCCCGAGGAGACCAGAAACGUGACGGAAUGACUGGACGUGGGGCCGUCGUGGAGCGGAGGACAUUGCUGCUGCUGCUGCUGCUGCAGUAUCUGCUGGGAAUGUCUGAGACUGGGAGCCUGGCUGGCGGAUGCUUCGACGCCUCCUGUGCUGCGCAAGAGGCGGCUGGCCGAGGCUCUGGAAAUGACCGCAGACUCGGCGCCGAUGGCGGCGUCCUCCAGCUCCGUGGGCAGGCCGCCCUGCGUGGAGCCCGUCCGCCGGGGCAGUAGCUGCGCGCUGCGCUCUGAGGCCUCGCGGGAGGCGCGAGCCGCGGCCAGCUUUCCUGGCAUUGAAAUGAAGACAUUGUCGACACUGAUGCCUGUGUGUGGGGCAAAGUUAGCGUAAAGUGAACCCGGCAAGGCAAGGCUUGCUGCGACGUCGGCAGUACAGACAUAGCGGCAGUAGAAACGUGAUGCUGGUGCGCCAGGCUUUGCGCGGAGGCAACGAAAACGGAAAGUGCUAACGUCGCAACUCCGAUAUCAUGCGUGCCUCACCAUUGGGAGUGGGCGGAGCACCUACGGAGGUCCUGAAAGUUGAUAUGUGAGCCGGCGUUACUGUUCCCACGACGGAAGAGCCGGAUGGGGCUGGCGGCUGCCCACCGGCACUGGUCUUGUCGUUCACAUCCUUCGGAGGUCCCCUGUAUAACGAUGACUCCCGUGUCAGGAAUUAAUAUCCCCUUGUUCCAUGUCGUUCACACAGACUGACUUCAAUAAACAACAGGUUUUUGCGGUAUCGUUGGGGCAGCAUGCGAACGUCGCCAUAACUUCCGCUAAGAUACCCCUUUUUAAGCCCACAGCUUACCUUCUUUCCGCUGAUUUGCUUUCUUGAACUACGGUAAGGGAUUUACUGCUGAUGCACCCUAUCUUGGUGUAUACAAGCUAGUGCCACCUGUUUUUCCCAAUUCGUAGUCCUGAGUUUACGGUAAAAAAAGGUGUGACAGUAGGACGUAAUAAACAGAAUUGAUACUAUUCUAUUAAAGCUGCGGAAAGCAUUGCUGGAAAAUCACUGCGUCCUGGCAAACAUCCCAUUUCCUCGUAAUGCCACAAGUGCACAUGCGACAUGAGCGGCUUACGAACGAAGUGACUAUACCGAAUUCCGUCUAGAGAAGGAAAGACGAAGUCACCCGUGGUACGACAUAUUCGCCCUGACCUGUGCUGCUAAAUACAAAAAACGCGUUAAUUGCGAUCUACUUACGAGCUGAGAGUGUAUUUACACUGCUUGGCAUUUCUUAUACCUGUAUUUUUACGAGCAGCCAGACAUUAUCCUAACGGACUGUUUUAAAUGCUGCGUAAUAUAAGCUAUAUGUUAGUGUCAAGUUCUGGACGCUGGCAGCCAUGUGAAGGCUCACUAUUCAGUGUAGCCUGCAAAACAUAACUGCUUGACGGGAGCGGCGAUCGGCGUCCCUUCAAGCAGUGGACCUUUAUUUAUAUAAGUGAUCAGAGUUACGUGGCUCAGUGCAGCUCUUGCACCGUAAUCGCACAGCCAUUGUCGUUCACGGGAUCGGCACCGACCUACAGCCCAUCUGCUGGCCUAUCACCUGGGCUUGGAGUGACCCUUGUGGCGCUGAAAGGUAACAGACAGUGUUGCCCAUCAUCUCUCUGAACCCUUUCUACGGAGCUGGCCCCAUCCAUACCGCUCCGACCUAUCCCAAGCGGCGGAAGUGAAACUCCCACGCACAAGGCGCCGCAUGCUAUCUGCAAACCGUGUACCAUGUGGGAAGCCCCACGAGUCAGCGCCUGACGCACGCUGCCCGCUGCGAUUUUCUUGCACUCCAACCCACUCCUCCUCCAGCCAAUCAUCGCACUCAUAAUAACACAAUGCAGCUGGAAGGGAUUUGUCUCCUGAUUCCUCGGCCCAACCCCCUCCUCCUCCUUCUCCUCCUCCCUCCGGAUGCCGUUCAAGCUCAGGGUCCUUGAACUACCCCCUUCGGAAAAGGUUGCUAGCUCUCCAGUCCCCUUGCGUAGUCGCCCCCAUUCUCCGCGCACCCACCCCCCACCAACACACACGCGCAUCCACGACCUCCCAUGUGACUUCACCCCGUCAUCCUCUAGCCCAGGUUGCGGGUAAACCACCUUUGCCCCUAACGUGGCGGCAGCCCGACCCACAUGCAAAGGACCGACCCACGGGCCACCGGAGCCUACGGAACCACCACGGCUGGGGCCUCCGACGGGGACGACGCGUUACCGCCACAGCUGCCAGCUUACCCCCAGGAUAACGGUGGAGCCCUCUCUCCCCCCGCCCUGUCCUCCUCCGCCUUUCAGCAGCAGCAGACCCAGCUAGCCACGUGGAGCGGGCCCACAGGAGGGGGCCUUAUGCACCAGGCUGCCAUCCCCGAGCACCGAGUACGCAAAUUCCACAAGCUGCUGCAGGAAUCUGUGGUAGGCUGGGGGGGCCUGGGGGGGUCGGGCUGGAGUGGGUUGUAUUUGCACCAGAUGGUGCUUCUGAGUAGUAGUUAGAGAUCAUGGCCCGAUGGCGACUGAUAUUCCAUUCUGUGUGCUCCCGGGUCCAGCUGCGGCGCGCGUAACAACGCAGUCCCAGGCUCAUGCUCAACCUCCCUCCCUCCCCUUCCUCCCCUCCCUCCCUCAACUGAACUUGCUCCUCUCCCAACCCCAUUUCGCAGGUGGACCUGGACGCCCUUCGCGAGCUCUCCUGGAGUGGGGUGCCUCUGGUGUUGCGGCCGCAAGUCUGGAGGCUCCUGUGCGGCUACCUGCCACCGGCAAAGUGAGUGUGACCGGUGGGUGGUCUUUGGGUUUGUCGUGGUCGUCGCCAUUGUGCUGGUUGUUCUGUUUAGCUUCUCCUGCUGCUUGCUACCUCCCUCCAUCGCCACCACAUCUCCCCCACCCCCUCCCUCUCUUCUCCCCUUCCCGCCUGCCCGGGGGAGUUUCUUCGCCUCUGCAGGAGCCGUCAGUCGCAGACUCUGGAGCGGCGGAGGCGGGAGUACGCGGAUAUGGUCCCCGAGUACUACGACAUACCGCAUGAGGAACGAAGUGAAGACGAGGUGGCCGCCUACCGCCAGGUACACCCCCUAACCAGGGAGUGGGGGUGUGGGGGUGAUCAUAUGCAAGACACGCACAACCCCCCGGUAGGAGGGAGGGAGGGAGGGAGGGGCCUCCGACUGCACAUGCAAGAGCAAGGGCCCCCGAUUGCACCGGUGACCUGAAGCCAGCGCCACUUCAAUGUCCCUCUGUUCAUCUGUUGAGAAUAGAUUACCGGUCCGGCCUUGGGUCGACCAGGGGCUUUCCUGUGUUCGAGGUUGCGCCCCCUUCCUCCAUCUACUCAUCUACAUGUCCCCCCACGGGGCCCUCUCGCUGCGUCGGCCGCCGGUCCGGCCGCAGGUGUUGGUGGACGUCCCCCGCACCGCCCCCAACGUGCCCUUCUUCCACGAACCCAUCAUCCAGGAGUCCUUGCAGCGGCUGCUGUACAUCUGGGGGAUACGGUACGGAAAGGGCAGUGUGGGGCAGUGCUGGUUUUUUCCCUUGGGGAGGGCAGGGACGGGGAGGGCUGGGAAAUGAGAAGAUCCUGCUCCACGACCCGGGACCUUUCCAUUAAUGUCGCUCAGCAGUAGCAGCACCAGCAGCAGCGGUGUUUGUUUUUUACUAACCUCCUAUUACUCCCCCUCGGCACCCACACCUGAUGUUGCGGGUGGGAUGCUCUUGGCGUGUGCUUGUGUAUGAUGUGUGAAACAGGGGGGUGUAUCUUCGCCCGUGGCAGCUACCCUGCGAAACCCUGCCUUUCCCCGGUAUUUCGGGGCACCCUCAUCCAGUCACCCUAGUCAACUUCUCAGUGGAUCGCUCAGGUUCCGCACCCACCAUCCAACGGAAUCUGCCGGGUCGACAGUGGCCCAACUCCAUUCCUGGUCGGCUCGCAGGUUAACUUUAUCCCAGGUCACCACCGUCCAUCAACUAGGGGCGCAAUGCCUCCCACCAUCGGAAGGACUUUUGACCCUAAUGGGUAUCGAUCCCGGGAUCUCCCGGGGGUAAUGGUCGCGCCUUACCAGUAGUGCCAAACCCUAGUAUGUAUGUAUGCGUACCCCGGGGAGGUGAAUGUGGUUAGUCAGCCCCACUCCACCUAACCCUGCCUUCAUGCAAAUGUGUGCGCGUGAACAUGCCAUCGCCCUGUCACCGCACUCGCGGGACAACUUCAACCCCUUUUUAAGCGCCGUCCUCCCUUUUUGACGUUCUAAAGUAAUAAGUGCCGCCCAAUGCCGAUGCCCUCACACCUCCUGUAGAGUGAACCGGUUCGCCUUUCCCCUUUCAGGGCUCCUUCCCGUCCCGCCCAGCCGGGGGCUACUAAACCCCCCUGGACCGGCCCCCCUCUCCUCCCCCCAUGCAGCCACCCGGCCAGUGGCUACGUCCAGGGUAUGAACGAUCUGGUGACUCCCUUCCUAGCGGUGUUUCUGUCGGAGCACCUGCCUGGGCCCAUGGAGAGCUGGUCGGCGGAGGCACUAAACCAGGUAGGCGGUAAGGCGUGAGACUGUGCUGGGGUGAGCCGGCAAGCGGUGCGGUGGAGUCGGUGGAGCCCCGCUGCUGGACAUGGGUGACCAAAGCGAACAGAGAUGAACUCCACCGGCAGCUGAGAGAUGUUUACUUCACCGGUGGUGUACCACCGCGCAAUCCGCCCUGCCCUGUCGCACACUCCGCGGCCCCGCUACACUCUGCGCUCGCAGACGAUUAUGUUGGCCGUCGAGGCGGAUUGCUACUGGUGCCUGUGCAAGCUGGUUGAGGGCAUCCAGGACCACUACACGUACGCACAGCCAGGUAUCCAACGGGCUGUGUUCCGCAUCAAGGAGCUCGUCAGGUGCGACGGCAGUGAAAUGUGGAUGGCAGGAGUUGAAAGAACUGGCGCCAGGCAGGGGUGGUUAGGGACCCACAUCGCUUGUUGGGGUGCAUGCUUGCGUAUUGUGUAGAGUCUUCACUCAGCCGCGCAUUCCUUUGCGCAAAACCACAUUUUUCCUGGGGUCCUGUCAGGGCGCGAUCGUGUAUGUCUCGAGCCAUCUUGCAGCUUCAUCGCCACCAUAGCUCUUGUCCACGGCAGGUUGUCUGCCCCUUAUCCCCGCUUCCCUCAGGCGCUGCCAGUCAGACGUGUCCGAGCACCUUGAGACUGAGGCGGUGGACUUCAUUCAGUUUGCUCUGCGCUGGGUCAACUGCCUGCUAGUGCGGGAAUUGCCCUUCUGUCUGGCCAUACGGCUGUGGGACACGUAUUUGGCGGAAGGGACAGGCUUCAGCGAGUUUCUGGUGCGGCGCUGGAGAGGAAGGGAGGGGCUGGAAAAGGGGAAAGGUUGACGUCGCAGGUUAUGGUAUCCGUGGUGGAGAAUAAUCCGCGCGGCGCCCUGUGCGGAGUGCUCAGAAUUUACAGGGUUAGGUUUCGCACCCGGCUGUGGGCUCUGGUGGAAGCGAGUCGUUUUCUUGGCCCUGCCCGGCUAUAGCCGUGUCCUAGGCCAGUUGGAGGAGUGCCGUUGAGGUCGGGACUCAUGACGAUAUCUGAAAGGCAUGUAUUCUUUGCAACGAAUUUUCAGGGUUCCUGAGGACUGUGGGUUUUUAUUCCUGCGGACUGACUUCCUGCCAGGUGCACAGACCACCAUUCCUUCCCCGCCCUGCUCCUUUUCUACCGCCCGCUAUUCCCUCUUACAGAUCUACCUCUCCGCCGCCUUUUUGCUAAGCUGGAAGGACCGGCUUACCCAGUUGGAGUUCCAAGACCUCAUCCUCUUCCUUCAGCGGUUGCCUACCGCCGAGUGGACGGAGGCGCAACUGGAACGCGUAUUGUCGGAGGCUUUCAUCUUGCGCAGCUCUUACAGUGAUGCGCAGAGUCAUUUGCGGCUAGGAUGAUGGAAGUUGGCAAGGGAAUGUUCGCAAUGCAAUCUCCAUGUGAAGCACUGUAGGCACAACAGAUCUUAGGAUCGUGUUUGAAAUGGCUCGCGGAUGGUUACUUUGACCCCGUUUACCUUUCAACUGAUUUGUGCAUGUGCUAUAGUGCAUUGCCCGAAGCAAACUGGUUAAUGGAACCAACAAGAGUCUACCAGCGAUUUGUGACGCUGAUACUCCUAAUAGCAUGCCGACUAGCAGUGAUGUCUGUAUCCGUUAAUAAUACUGUGUAAACAGGAUGCCCCCUAGAGACGCAUCCCAGCACCAUAGAAGCGGACGCGGUGAAAGGCCAACUCAGCUGGCCGACGUUGUCUCAAUGUAAGGAGAACUUGCACUGUACGACAUUUUCCCGUACCGUGCUGGUCGGGAAUGGCAACCUCCCAACACCGCAUCCACACCGCUUCUUACCCUAACUUGUGAUACUCAUUUUGGUUCGCAGCAUAUAAUCCUUACAACAGCAUUGCUCGAGUACUCCGCCACUACCAUCCUGACCGCAUUUGCCCUGUUCACUCGCCUUUUCAGUCCGGGGUGAAAAUGUCACCAGUCAGACCCCCUAAGAUAGAUAGCACUCGACCUCAACGUGAGGAAAAAGAAUGUGUCAUUGCUAUGUGGCUGCAUUUCAUCUACAUGAGCGCCAUCAUCCUACAAUCCAAGGGCCCACACGCAAGAUUACCACCGGGGGAUCGGGAGUUCCAAUGGGUCCUACUGGCAAACCUUAAAUCCUCCUUCACUUCAUCCACUCAUCCACUCCACACCGCCGACAGUCAUGUAACUACGCCGCCUUGAUAAUCAGCUUCCAUCCCACAACGCCCUCGUCUAGGCGCACAACCCCUGUUUCACGCAUCUCCUUGGCGAAACCUGCUUACGACUUGGCGGCAAUGUUCUGGCUAAGCCAAUCCAGGCCUUCGUACAAGCCCUCGCCUGAUGUGGCGCACGUGCUCUGGAUGUACCUGCAGUUGCAAAAGGGACAAGGCAGACACGAUUAACACACGGUUAUGGCCAGGGCACGCCCCGCCAUUCAAAUACCUUCCCCAUAAUAAUUCGACACCCUUUGGCGAAUUAGGAAAAACGAACAUCAGCCCGGUACACUUGAAGCGAGGCGUUCGACCAACAUUCAUAAGGCGAAGCAAAGCUCAAUUCACUUCAUCACAUACAUACACAGGACUAUGACAAACUAAGAAGCUACGUACCAGCACUUGUGACGCAGCCCAUGCAGACCAAGUUUCUCAGUGAUCUCCGCAGCGUUCAUCGCGUUAGGCAGGUCCUGCUUGUUCGCAAACACCAGCAGCACAGCAUCCCGAAGCUCAUCCUGCAGGAGGUAAUAGACAAAUCCAUCACGAGAUGCGGCUGGGGGUUGCGAACAGUUUUGGCACAAUCAUGUCAACAACCAGGUCCAUACCUCGUUCAGCAUGCGAUGAAGCUCAUCCUUUGCUUCACCAACACGCUCGCGAUCAUUGCUAUCGAUCACAAAGAUAAGGCCCUGCGUGUUCUGGAAGUAGUGCCUCCAAAGUGGGCGGAUCUGCGACCAUGUGGCAAGCGGUCAAGCCCUGCCGUCUUUCACCUCACACAUACGGUGCGUUACCUUAUCCUGGCCACCGACAUCCCAGACGGUAAAGCUAAUGUUCUUGUAUUCCACCGUCUCCACAUUGAAGCCUGCAAGUGGGCACAGCUGAGUCGGUGCUCGGCGACCGCUUGCUACGGGUGAUCUCCCAAACCUCACCAAUUGUGGGGAUAGUCGUCACAAUUUCGCCCAGCUUCAGCUUGUAGAGGAUGGUUGUCUUACCAGCAGCAUCCAGACCAACCUGCGCGACCACCGCUGCUCAGGCAAAUCCACAGUCGACCGGAAAGCCGCGGGACGCACCAUCAGGAUGCGCAUCUCCUUCUUGCCGAAGAGCCGGCUCAGUGCCUUCGAAAUGAUCAGGCCCAUCUUUGCCGAUGAUGUUAAAGAAGGGUAUUAGGCUAUGGACGCCCGCUGGGGGCCAAAAAAGAAGGUCGCAGAAAGAGGACCAAACUUUAAGUAAUCUUGGCCUAAAUGAAACAAAAGUAGGUUUUAUGUAAUUUAUCGUCCACAGUGCAGGCUGUGUGACGUGUAUAUGUUGCAAGCAGCUUCUAUUUGACGCUGUGUCCUGCCUUCUCCUUGUCCAAAUGCUCGGCCCAUGACUCCAGGACGGGUCCUCGGAUAACAGGCGCGCAAACCGUGUGCAACCCCGUCUCUAAACCCGGAUAGCAAUCAUUACAACUAUGCUCGCAACACGCAAAGUGUCACAAAUGCUGGCAGGGCGUUGUAACUUGUCUGCGGACCCAAACCAGUUAGUAGCCUCGAGCCGUUUAGCCGUUUCGAGGCAAUCCUGUGAGAGGAAGCAAAAACACCUUUGCAAACUAUUUAUUUCUUAUCUUACAAAUCUCAGGUGGACGGACAAGCUGAAAGCACCAUGCGCUGCAGGGGUGUUGCGCUCCAGAAUUUGAAGUGCUUUCAAUUUCAUGUUGCGAAUACGCUUCUGCUAUUUAUGCUGAGGCUCAAGCGUGGGAUUUGUGCCCGUUAUUCGGGCUCCAUUGGUUUCGACGUUUUCAGUUUAGGCCUAAGGUUGUAGUCAGCCGCAUUCAUGCUGGAUUGGACAUCUAGCCCUCUUCUGCUUGUUCGUGACUAUAUUCGAACCUGCUAAUCACCGUGAAGUGACAUGCACGGGAGUGUGUGCUUCAAGCUAAUCGCCAGGUUCAAGCUCAUACGACAGGUGCCGCGAUCCAGGUCGCUUGCCUAGGAACCACGGAGGUGCCCAUUAACCUAACAUGCGGAAAACCAGCGACUGCAUCACGUUAGAAAGUCCAUGCCUGGAACACAGCACAGCCCAUGACGCAGGUGACCAGGUAGCAUCACGGGAUUAGGGUUUAAAGUGACGGGCAGCUCAUAGGCAUAGCGAUGACGGCAACACGCAAAUGGCGUACCCAGAUCGCGGCACAUUUUCAUGCUUAAUCUUGUUUAGGUCCACUGAGCAACUCAUCCCACAGCCGCCGCAAUUGAAGAUAAGCACAUAUCACACGGCACAGGCAUCAGACAGAUACGCGACGCACCAACCAAUACCAAAUCCGCCAAACCAGACUAUAAACCAGCGCCGAGUCCCGGACCGGCACCAGCAACGCUGCACUUUAUUUCUAUCGACUUCAUUGAAGAACAACACAAAAGCUUUCGCCAGUCAUUAUUAAGGCUUGUAUAUCAUUCCACAAUCAUUUCCGUACGCAGGUGAGUCCAACAACGGUGUACGGGCGCCUAGGUGGGGAUGACACCAUUCAUCGCACCCCUAACAAUCCACCUCCUCCAAGACGCAGAUGUUAAAGCCCAAAGCUCUUGGUUCGCUUAACCAAGCGAUCAGCACCGGCACGCCGCAGCUGUGCGUGUGGCUGAGCAGCACGGACAGUCGCAUGAUGCAGAGGGACACAAGAAACCCAAAACACGGAGAAAGUCGCAAGCCCCCCACCAACUCAAUUGUAGAUGGAAGUGAGUAUUUGCUCCGCAGAAAGGAGGACAGAAUGAACGUACACGGUCACAUACCCAGACCAGGCCGCGGAUUGCACACACCGUUGUUCAUGUCUUCGGUGAUGGAAACCUAUAAUGCGGUGGACCCGGCCCACUGCCCGGCCACAAUGCAGAAAUACAUGACGGAGUAUCGAGCAUGAGUCACCAUGACCAUGAAUUUAGGAUAUGCUUUAGGACUUGCAACAUGCAAAAAGGUAUGCACCCUGUUGUUGCAACAAACCGACAGCCAACUCAACCUGACCCACACAUAGAAAAGCCACAACUCCAAUUCACUACUUCACCACCGAACACGCUAAACCGUUAUUCUGACGCGCAGCAGCGCGGUAUCUGCGAACCGUCAUUUAUCUGUACAAGGUGGGCACGGGCUUAAACAAUUACUGCAUGGGGGCUCCAGAAGAGCAGUCCACAAACUAAGGCGCCUGCGGUCUACGAGGAACGCGUGGGGCCACUUGUGCACCAGACCCGAUUUCGCCUGCUGCGCUGGGUUACCUUUCUAAAUGAAUGCCUACCCCAACCCGGCCGCUCCCCACAACAGCAGCAAUUGGCAACAGAGCAAAACACUCAGAACACGCGUACAUGCGCCAAGAAACAGCCGACCGACCGUCAUAAUCAAGCCGACGACGGCAGCGCCCAGGGUGGUAACUCUGAAACCCAACAAUUGUUGCUCACACGUACAGGAUGGGGGUCUCAAAAGGCGUCAUUGAGAUUAAGUCCUGCAAUAUCCAAUAUCAAGUGCGAUGAAUCCCCCUCUAUAGGCCUUGACACUGCUCCAUCUAUGCAUCAAUUCGCUUUACACAGGUUCUAUCUGUCUACCUGCCUAUCCUAAUGACAAAAUAUAAGGCGAGAAUGUAUAUGUUUGCUAAGAUACAGGCUUGUUUAUGCCGCCAUCAAGGGAAGAGGUCGUCGCAAAGCUGCUCCCUAUGCCCAGCCGUAAAUGCCACGCAUAGCGGAGGUGGUAACGACGAAGUUGAUGCGUCAAGCAGGUACGGAACUGCGGCAACCUAGACAAGCUUGAGUCAACUGUAUUGUUGCGGCAUAUGGCGUAGGCAUUCCUAACUAUAUACCCUCAACGCCAAUGGCAGCGCUCGACACCCCAUGGGCGAGUGCCAGCAACGUCGCAACCUAACAUUCACCAUCGUGCCUCCAAGUCAAGUUGCCUCACUAACAAUUGGUGCACUCUUUAGGUACUCGUGGUGAACGUGCGCGCUAGGGCGCCUGUUUCCUCGUUGUUGCCUCGCUGGCGCCUCAGAGCAACUACCACUGUCGACAUUGGCGUAAUAACCAGACCAGGCGAGACCAUGCGUGUGGCUCACACGGCUGAAAUCCCACUUGCCCGUCCUCAGCCAGCCUACCUAGCCUACCUAUGCACCAUCCACAAUGUGCUCUACAACAAUAACACAUUCGGGUCCCCCAAGAGAUGCAUUACGAGGCGCAUCAACCUCAAGCCUGAGGGGCUAAAGCAAGGCUCCCCCAACCCUCGGGGGGCCUUCCCGAACCAGGGAAUCUCAAGAGCCCUACUACUGGACAACCACGGGCGCCGGCACUUCCGCCGGCAUGGAAGAUUCGGACGCAAAACGCUCUGCCUCCAUAUGGUCAUCUGGGUCCAGAUCUCCGGUUCCACGGCUGGACGUGCUGUCGCUCUUAUGGCCACUGCUGGCUGGCCGAUCCAGCACACCGCUAGCACCAUCAGCCAGGGCAAAGCCUACGGCCAACCGCUUGUGCGAUUUAAGAGACUUCAUAGAUCUUUCGCUGGCUUUGCAACUAAGAAUGCCGUUACUUGUGGCUUUCCGCCCGAUAGCCUGAUAGGGGACACAGGGGUAGGACAGGGCGGGGCAAGGGAUGGGGGAACCCUUGUCAACCGGCAUGCGAGGGGGACGGGCAUUACAUGUAGCCUGGCGCCGAGCUGGCGGCCCAUGGGUCGGUGGAUCUGGAUCUGGGAUCUGAUGCGGCUACAUGUGCGGGUAAUGUGUUAAUGCCCGUGAAAGAAUGCGCCCUGCAGAUGCCGCCCUCAACCCUAAGAUCUACUACUCCUUAGGCUCCUACUGGCAUCCGAAGUGUCUCACCAGCAAGGGGUUGGUUUCUUUGGUGAGUUCAAACUGCUCCCGGAGUGGGUCGGGGCCCUGGUCCUCCUCCUCCGCGUCGUCGGGGUAAUCGUCCUCUUUCGCAGUGGGAUUCACAGUCGCUGCGGCCAGCGGCGGCAAGAUUAACUCGAGGUUUGAACUGGGGUCGCUGUUGCGACGCCGUACUCCAAUGCUCCGAUUUAAGCUCCGGCUAGACUUGAAUGUUAUCGGUGACUGCGGAAAUAGUUGUGAGGGCAGCAGGGCAAAGCGUAGGUUACGCAGGAAUGUUUGAGUGCACGGAAAAAAGUCGUGAGGGAAAUUAAGGAAGAGAGAUCAGUACUCAGUGUACUGGCGCGUCUCCUGUUUGAAAGACAACCAAAGGAGCAAGCCAGUUGCAGGUUAAGAGGGCCGGGACAGGGAAUUAGCAGGAAUGAAGCUGCAAGCCAAUCCAUCCCCGUCCCGUCGUGCUCCUCAAUAUCUGUCCGAUCCGAAGUACCCUGAAUUUCCAUCCAUUAUGUUCGCACCGGCGUCAUAUCAUCAGGCGAGCGAGCUGAGAAGCGGGCUCGGAAGGCCGCUCGUGCGGGGUUGUCAGACUCAGCACUGACGGGGCGAUCCGGUUCUACUGGGCAACCAGCUUCGGCGGUGACGGGGGCCUCUGGCUCUAUGCUGGCUGGACGUUCGGGCAUGGCAUCUUGCUCUAAACAUUGCGAUUCCUCAAUAUCCAUGGCUGUUGCGGUCUUUUGAUUGGGGGCCUUGGGCUCCGACGCCCACAACUUUGUGUCGCUCGCCGGGGAGACAGCGCCGUAUCCGUCCUUCGCUCCAGCGACAUCCACCAUAAUGACGUCAUCUUUAUUUCCUUUUCCCAUUACCGAGGUAGCCUCGCUUUCAGGCAGAGCAGGGGCCGCGGCCUGCAGAAAUAGGGCAGGCGUCUAUUGACUUACCGAAUUUGGGGCAGCAACGCGGGUAAUAAUUACAGCCCCAAUCGUAUAUAGAAUUUAAAUUACCCAGAACAACCUUACAGUCCAACCUACCAAGUCUUGGGGACCCUGCGAAGUCUUCUCCUUCGCCUGCUGUGGAGCCACCGCCGAUUCAGGACUCUUGCUAGCUCCGCAACCCAUGUUCACCUCAACUCUUCACAUGCGGUGCUGCUGGCGCAGCGCUUUCCAGAGGAAGGGCCAGGGGGACUCCUAGAACGGUUACAGUACAAGCUUGAAAUCUGAAAACCUGGCAAUCAGAGGUGCCCAAUCCAGAAACGUACUGUGCCUAAAGACCUACCCGAAAUGUUGUCCGCGCCUUCUGUUGCGCAGCGGCAAACCCCCUUCUCUCCGUACGUCAGCACCGUACGCCUAUCGUCUCAUUAAGUGCCAAAAGGUGAGCUUCAUAACUACCUAACGCUCUUGGUAUCAUCGGUUAUUGCAUAAAACGCCAGCAAAUGGAAAAAACGUGCAUCCCACAGAGCAGUUAAACAGUGAGAAAACGGUUUCACCUGGUAAUUAUAUGAAUAGGUUAUCAUUAUUAUGUUAUGGGCAAAACGUUAGGCUAUAGCAUAAAAACCUGCCCGGCAAAAGAUUAUUGCACCACGCAAGACAGAUGACAAUUAGCCCGAUUACCUUGUACUUUUAUGUAAUGGAAUAAACUUUAAACAAUUAUUAUCAUUUGCAGCUCGUCGUUAACAAAUCGUGGUGUUAUUGGUGUAAGGCAAUCAACCUAUCUGAAAACGAACAGUCCCUUGCCUGUCUCCUCUGUCACCUGUAUGUCUGGGACGUGGCGUGUUAAGCAAGUCAGAAGGUGUUAGGCAUGGUAAACGACCGAAGGGCCUGAGUCCAGCAGUGAAGCUUACGAGUAAGGCGCGAGCAGUGCAAUAAAGCACGAGUUACGCCACAGGCCGGAUGGCAGUUGUAACUUAUCUUAAUUUUUGUCUGAUAAUUCAUUCGUACUAAUUUGAAGCAAACAGAAGUGCGACUAUGCUCGUUACGGGUGCCCGUAUAGGCGCGGGCAGGACGCCCGCUGCUUUUUGCAAAUUUCGCCAUGGUGCACGCCGUUGCAGAAAGCCCACGUGGAACGCUGAAUACGAAACAGGUACUGGGUCAAGGAGAUGGAGAACAGCUUUUGAGGAUACGUAACCUUAUACGGCCUAUCCUGAGGCAGCCGUGCAAUGGACUUGACGCUUAACCAUCUCAACCAUCAGCCAACCGAUUUAUCACAGAGCCUAGGCGCAAGGCUCCAUCAACAGGCGAAGGAUGCCACAGUCUGUACCCUACCGCCCACACCAAACUCCUACGUGCAGCUGCUCGCACGGAACGUCCAUCACCCGCGGCCUCCCUGCCGGACCACUCGGCAACCAAUGCCAACCCAACCUGCGCACACGUACACACACACGCACAUGCCGACGGCGAUGCUCCCUUCCACCACAUGCCGUCCUGCUCUUGCUAACAAGACGUACAUGCACAAAAGAAAGUGUCGCAUGGCUGGCAUCCAAUUUCUGCUGCCCUGCCAAUCCAUAUCGCAUAUCUCCUCUGGGCGUAUCCCAUCUGUAACAAAAACACGCACACAAGGACGCGGGAUGCGACACAGACGCACAUUCAAGAGGCACACACGCACACACUCGCGCACGUUCCUCUGUUGAUAGCAACGGUGCUUCUCCAAGUGCCACGACGUCCAUCAGGACUGCCGCGUCCAAGCGGAAUAGCGCCGGUUCCCCCUCUAGUCCGGCCCCCUCUAGUCCGGCCCCAGUGCUUCCGGCGGCGGCAACGCGAACCUCGCCGUCUCGGGCGCUGUGAGCAGUCCCACCACACUGCCCUGUGCAGUGGCUCCGGAGGGCAGGUACAGGUCGUGGCGCUGGUGGCAAUAGGCCUGCCACACAGCGGAUCCAUCCAACAGAUGGUUGACCUGGGGGAGGGGGCGGGAGGGGAGGGGGCAGGGGGAAACGGGAGGGGGGAAAUCAUAUGAUGCGAGAAACUCAGAAAUGAACUGCCAGAAGGCGUCCAAAGGGAAUGAGAGGAGGGAGGGAGGAGGGUGCCAUCAUAUGAUGGCGGGGAGGGGAGGGGAGAGGAAGGUGGAAAGGAAGAGAACGAAAGCAGUACAGCAGCCGUACCUGUUGCGAGUGGAGUCCAGCGAGUUGCAGCGCCCUCAGAACAUCCACCGCCAGCACUCGCAGUACGGCAGCAUCGUCAUCAUCGCCGCCACCGCCACCGCCGCCGGCCCCCCCACCGCCACCGCCACCGCCGCCGCCCCCCCCACCGCCACCGCCACCGGCGGUCGAGGCUGCCGCCGGCGGGCCGGGUCCAGACGCUCCCCCGCGCUUGGACUGCCAGUCCAGGGAAGUCAGCAGCUCCGGAACCAAGCCGUACUGAAGAGCCUGCGCCGGUACACGCAUCAUAGGAAACCAUGCAGUCAAGCCAUGCCGGUAAGUCCGACCUGUCACGCUCAAGAGCCCGCACGCGCGCUCACACAAAUCACGCAAAGGAAAGAACACCGGUAGGGAGGUGGAUACCUAGUUAAGGCUUCCCUCCGCUCCUGCAGCGGCCCUCGCUGGGCAGCUUGGUCGGUCGGUAGGUAAAACCUAGACUGGUUAGCAUUAUUUUGUUUACCGUCUGUCUCCUCUCCUCGCACAUCACUACCCCUUUCUUUAACACGCGCAAAGAGAGACGCAACGAGGCGAGGGGCCAUAGCACAUUGUUCCUCCUCCUGAGUAAAUACUAGAAGCUCAUAAGCACCUCCACAAGCCCAGACGAUGUCCCACCCGCGCACCUGCAGCACCAGUGCGUCCCGCUGCCGGUUGACGGGAGCCAGAGCCCGCUUGAGGGACUCCAGAGCCAACACACGAGCCGCCGGACCCAGCCGCAUUGCGCCGCACAACACCUGUACGGCAGGCGGCGACGCCGUGGCCAGGGCCUCCGCGACCGACGGACUGUCACACAGCUGGUGCAGGAUCCGCAGCGCACUGCCGCAAGCCUCCGCCAGGCCAGCAGCCGCCUGGUGGUGCUGCGGCUGGGGCUGCUGCGGCUGCGGCUGCUGCUGUGACGGCGGUGGCGGCGGCGGCGGCGGCGAUGUUCCUGCGGCGGCCGGCGCAGCAGCGCCGUCGGCGCCACCGUUGUUAUUCUUGCCGCUGGCGUCGGGGCCUGCAAGCUGUUGCUGCUGCUGCUGCUGCGCGGGCUGCAGGUGGCGGGUGAGGGCGCCCAUCUGCGUGAGCAGCUUGGACACGUGACCGCCCCGACAGAGCUGCUCGGAGAGAAGGCUGUGAGACUGGGGGACGCAAGCGGGCCAGCGGGCGGGGAGUGACCGGACCGACCAGCAGGCGAACGUGUGAGGGAGGGAGGCGUCAGGCGGAGGAACGGGGCAUAGAAACCAACAAACCGUGUGGCCCAAAUCACGUACGCAGUUCCCGUUGGCGUACUAACCUCACUCACACAUACCCUUGCCUCCGCCUCACCCUCCCUCUCCCCUCUCCUCCGUUACGGCAACCCCUUCUUCCCCAUCCCCAUCCCGUUCCCCUCCCACCAGUGUUCUCUCCGGCCCCUCCCCGGUGCAGCUCCACUCCCCACCACCUUGGAGCUCACUCACCCUUAGCAGGGCCACCAGCGCAGCCGCCAGCAGCACCAACAGGUCCGAGUCCCGGGAGGGGCUGGACAGCUCCGUUAGAUAGCUAGGGAGGGGGGAAAGGGGGGCAGACGAACCACGAACGAGUGAAGGGGGGAAGGGGGGCACGGAGGAACAGCGGCAAGAGAACAUAAAGGAUGCCGGACGAAGCGGCGCAGAGGGACAGCUCAGCAGCAGCACCGCGUCCAAAGGGUAUUAAAGCUGUGGAAGAAGGCAGGGAGGGCACUCUGGGGGCGCGUUGACUACUUCCCCGGCCAAAGUUGCACUGAGUGAGACUCACGAGCCGCCUCUGUAGUUCCUAUUCACGGCUCAGCUCUCCACAACCACAGCCACGUCCACCUCCAGUCGUGGCUGUCUCCGCCCUGUUUUAUUUCACCCCAUCCCGCGCCUAAUCCCCUCCUGCCAUGGCCUGCCACAUCCCACCCCCAGGGACUCGUGUGUGUGUGUGUGGCCAAAGCCCGCCACGCACCGCUCCAACAGGCCCUCCCCGAACUUGGCCGGGUGGCGCAGGGGGUGCUUCGGAUUCUUCAAGAACAGCCGGACGUAAGCGCCGCCUACGAACAGCUCCCCACGCAGCUUCUCGUACUGUACGGCGGCGCCGGGCGGCAGAGCCCAGUCGUACUGACCCUCCGCCUGGCGAGAGCGAAGUUGCGAGGCGAGCACAGCCACCUAGGGGCCGUCGGGGGGGCGCCGGGAGGGGGGGAGAGAAAUCGGGGAGCGGGAAACUGAUGGAAGAGACCACCGAAAGAUUGAUAUAGAAAAUUCGGAAGGGACCAAAUGGAUACGGACAUCCCGACAGACAAACCUCCCCGUGAGGAGCUGCAGUCCUGGGGAGGUGCAGGUCACGUGCACGGGGCCUCGCCUUCACCCAGCGGCCUUGCACGUGCCGAAGCAGUUGGUCGUUGAGCUUCUUUCCCAAGCAGAACCGCAACUCCUCCUGUCCGUAAGCUGUUCCCCCCUUCCACUCCCCUCCUGCAAGCCCUAAUCAACACGCACUUGCCCCAUCCCCGCAUCUGACCCGGGCACGUCGUGAGACCCAUCGUGUGAAACCCACACACAACCCACAACACCCCUCUCUCUUUCCCGCCUCUCCCCGGGGGAACAGGGGGACGGAUAGCUACCUGUGUGGCCGCGUUGCAAGCCAUCUCCGCGUCCCAGAUGCACUCGGGUGUCUCAACACGUUGCGUGAGAGCCUGGGUGCGGGCGUGGGAUCAUAUGCAAGGAAUGAACUGCCGGCGUCUUGUUGCGAAAGGUGGUUGGGGGGCCGCAUGGUGGCCGAUCCGGGUAGGACGGGGGCGGAUUAAGGCUCAGGCUCGGGGAAGGCACCGGGGUUGAUUACCAGGCCAAUCUCAUGCCAAUGUCCGGUCGGUAGGACAUGAAUGGCAAAGCCAAUGACAAGGUCAAGGCCUAGGCGCUGGGAUGCAGGAGGGAACCCCGGGGGACUGUGUGAAAGGCCGUAAAUGUUUUAGGACGAAGGUCGGGCGGGGCACGAGGCGGCGGGGGGUCCUCAACGGAACAGCGGCAACGGCAGCAGUAGCAACCGUACCUGCAGGACCACCGCCGGCGGCCCGUCCGCAAUGGCCGCGAUCAGACCCGGGGGCAGUAGCCGCUGAAGCGACAGUUGAAUCAAUGACCCAUGGGUCGCAUGCGCCAUGAGCCGGCCCAGCAGCGCCGCUGCUUCCCCGCGCGCCUCAUCCGCCGCUGCGGCCUCCGCCGCCGCCUCCAGCGCACCGGCCCGGACCCCACCAUCUCCCACACCACCAGCUCCCACCAUUGCUGCCCCUGCCCCUGCCCCUCCCCCUGCCCCCGCCCCUGCAGCACCGGAACCCUGUUGCUGUUGUUGCAGUUCCUCUUUCUGUUGUUGUUGUUGUUGUUGUUGUUGCCAGGGCCUGAGUCCUCUGUGCAGCAGGACCUCCAGCAGGUACAGCCAGCCGCCCUGGAGCGCCGCAACAGCCGCACACGGCGCCUGGCCGCACACCGCACGUAGCAGCCGCAGAGCCGCCGUCAUGGCCUCCAGGGAGGGCGGCCGGUGCAGCAGCCAGAACAGCAGCCGCGCGCAGUGCUCGUCAGCAAAGGCCUGCGGUUCCGGGGACAUGGGUCGGCAUGGGCCCGGCGGGGGGCCAACACCCAAUCACAAUAGUUCCCUCUUGCUUCCAGGAUGGGAUGGACUAAAAGCAGGGCCCCCGGGGAAAACAGAGGCGAGGGCGCCAGCUGGAGAUGUGGAAUUCGGAAAUGCAGCGAGGGCGGGGCCGCGUAGGGCGUGUGGUUGAAAAACUAUCAUCCCCCACCCCACCCCACCCCGCAGCCCUACGGUUACUUCCCAGUCUCCCUCCCAUACCUCCAGGCAGCCGCUGUGCUGUGCCGCCCGGGACAGCAGCGCCAUGCCAGCCACCGCCAGCCGGUCCGCCCAGUACCGCUGCUGAGACCCGGAGGGUGACUGCCGCUGCUGCUGCUGCUGCCCAACCACUGGUUCUUCUCCUCCGCUGCCAGCACCACCACCACCACCGCUACCACUGUCCGCAGCGCCUCCGCCGGCGCCGCCGGCGCCGCUGGUGGUGCCGUCCCCCGGUUCCCCGGUACUUCCCUCCUGUGCAUGUGCCGCCGGCUGCGGCUGCGACUGCGGCUGCGGCUGCGGCUGAUGCAGGUGUGGCUCCAGGUGUGGGCUGAUGAGGGCCUGGUAGGCAGCGGGCUGCAGACAGGCCACGAACGGGGAUAGCGCGGAUCUGGACGCCAGCACCCCCAGCAGCCGGGGCUCCCCAUCCAGCAGCCGGGCGGAGGCGGCCAGGACGGCCAGUACGGCCGGCAGGGAGGCGGAAGCGGGGAGGGAGCCGGGGGGGAGCGGAAGCAGCGCGUCGAAGAGGUACCUGGAGGCACGGGGGAGACAGGGGGAGGCAGGGAAAAAAUACGGUCAUGGGCAGCCUGCAGGUGUCCAUCCACAAAAGCCUCCAGGUAGAGGUAGAGCAGUCGGCAGCGGGUGGUUAGCAGGUGGUGAUACAGGUUCGAGAAACGGAAUCUUGCAAUGGUAGCGGUCCGGGUUUUGGUGCGGAGAUACCCUCUAGCGGAAGAGCUGGAGGUAGUGGAUCCCGGUAGGGAGUGGGUAAAGAGGACGUGACAGAGUCACGUGCUGUGGGGGCGGUGGAGGGUGAUGUAUGGUGCAGGUAGAGGGGCGUAUGGCGGGAAGGAGCCCCAGCGCCUCCCUCGCAGACGGCAGAGCGUAGCCGGCAGAGGACAGAGUGCACCGGUGAGGACCCGCAUCUGAAUGCAUGGCAGCAAGGACUGCGCACAAGAGGGGCUGACGAUCACCGCCAUGGCCGAAUUUCCCCCUUCCCCCCAUCCCGGGGGGCGUCUUAGCACCCACCACCACUCUAAGCAUCAAGGCGGCGCCGCACCCCCAUAUCACAGACCUCAUAUCACCGUACAGUAGUUUCCACUCUUCCAUUUCGCCCUCUCUUUCCUCUUUCACCCCCCCCUAAACAACCCCUCACCGAACCAGCGCCUUGCAGAACGCGGGCGGGUCGGGGGGCAGCUCCGAGGGCCUCUCGUUGAAGACCCGAACGAACACCCCGCCCACGACGAGCUCCCCCGCCAGGGACUUGUGCACGAAGGAGCAAAGACCGGACAACAUAUCACCGCCGCCGCUGUGACUGCUGCCGAUAGCAACGACACCGCCGGGGGCUGACGCCACCCUGCCGCCGGCCUCCGUGUGCGCAUCCUUGUGGGUGGUUGGGUGCUCAACGCCGCUGUGCCGUUGUUGGGUGGGCGGUGGUGGCGGUGUCGUUGGUGUUGCGGAGUGCUCCAGGAAGGCCAGCAGCUCCUCCCGCAUGGCGGGAUUCCAAAUGACCUGUGGCAGCGGCGAUCGCCACCACGCAAUAACACACAGGCGUGCGCCCGCAAGCGGUGUGUGUAGCUACGUAUGCAUGUAUGCAUGCAAGGGUUGUGGACUCCUGUGUGUUUGCGUGUGUUCAUUCUCGUAAAAACGUCCCACUAAUGGCUCCAAAAGGGGGGUGCCACGCGGAGGGGACAUCAACGUCGCGAGGGGAAAGAGGCGGUUACGCAAGAAGCGCCCAGGCUCCCUCACCCUCCACCCUCCCAUCCCUCCCAUUUCCCCACCACCACUCCUGAUCUCACGACCCGGCUUUCCCCGCAAGGAUAGUGAAGCAGCCACCCCAGCCCCAGCCCAACGUGUUUUUCGUAUUUGUUCCUCACCCCCAACCCCCACCCCACCCCAGCUCCCCAACCCACUCUACACGUCUCAUGUGUGCCGCUGAGCACCCCGAGCAAGGGCCUGGGGUCGGGGUCGCUCAGGCGGGUGGCCAGCGGCUCAGUGAGCAUGGCGGCCAGCGCGGAGCAGGCGGGGGGGCAGGACGGGGUGGCGUGGGGCGGGGGGAGCAGACCGGCCAGUCGGGACAGAGCCUGCGGACCCAGGACGAGGGUGAAAAGGGAAAUGGAUGGCGGCGCAGGGCGAUUGAACCGGUGGGCUGGAAGACCCCGCACAGACAGUUGUGCUUGUAGUUCACACGAUACGACGUGGUAAAACCAUGUGUGCGUGCCGUCAGGACAGAGAGGGAGAGGGAAAGAGAGCGACAGAGAGAGGAGGGACGCUGCGUUGGAGGUCGUCGCGCCCACCUAAUGCACAGCACGUCAGUCCGUCAAGCUCCCUUUCCCCAAUCCCCCCACACCCGUACAUACACCCGGGCACCACCCGCACUCCUCGGACUGACCGGGAGGGACCCCAGCCGGGGGUCCCCUCGCGCCCUGCCCUCCUCCCCCUUCCUCCCCCUUCCUCCCCCCUCCUCCCACCCCCAGAGCCCACCUGCGCCGCCAGCACUGCAUGCAGCGACCUAGCUGCCGGUGUACUGCAGCGCGCAGGUGCGUCCUCAGGUAGGGCCAGCAGCGGCAGUGUGGCCGAGUCAUCCGGACCCGAGAAUGGCGGAGCCAGCGUGGACUGCGGGUUGGGGCAGGGGGAGAGGGGAGUGGACUGCGGGUUGGGGCAGGGGGAGAGGGGAGUGGACUGCGGGUUGGGGCAGGGGGAGAGGGGAGUGGACUGCGGGUUGGGGCAGGGGGAGAGGGGAGUGGACUGCGGGUUGGGGCAGGGGGAGAGGGGAGUGGACUGCGGGUUGGGGCAGGGGGAGAGGGGAGUGGACUGCGGGUUGGGGCAGGGGGAGAGGGGAGUGGACUGCGGGUUGGGGCAGGGGGAGAGGGGAGAUACGUAUCGGGAUGCGUGUGCGUGUGUGUUUAUGAUCUGAGCCGCCAGGAAGAAAUGGCCUCCAGGGGGGGGAACCGCACAAUAAAUAACUUCACCGAGGCACGCGCCGGAUGUUGCGUGUCAAGAGAACAGAACGGGCAAGAGGUGAGAGUUGGAGUCAUGCGAUAAGACAAGCAGACGAAAAAGAAGCAGCGAAGAUUCGACUGCUGGCCGACGUUUAACGCCCCACCAACUGCCUGUGGAGUCCGAAAUUAACGAUGUAGCAGGGGGAGGGUGGAGCGGGCUGGGGUCGGGGUAGAGGUAGGGGUAGAGGUAGGGGUAGAGGUAGGGGUAGAGGCGAGGGCCGCAAGGUACCCUGGGAGAGGGGGAGGCCGGCCGGCUCUAAGAUGGUACUCCGCCUGCGGGAGGGGCCGGGAGGGGCUUAGCGAGGGUGGUUGAGAGAACCGAGGUCAGUAGCCCGCGGGCGGACAUGCACCAACAACAACCCCUUCCUCCCUCUCCCCCCCCGCACGGAGCCUCUUCACGUACCAGCACAUCUUUGGGAAGGGUGUUGUCGUACUGCAGUACCAGCGGUACCAGCGCCUGCAGCACACCACAGCGCAGCAGCGCCGCCUGCAGCUCCGGCGCAGCCGCCAUGUACGACAGACCUACCAGGGCCGCAUCGACAGCGGCGUGGCAGCGCGUCAGGCGACAGCAACGGAUCAGGUCGCGGCACAGCCCGGCGGCGGCGGCGGGCGCUGACGGCGACGCCGAUCCCAGCGUCGUCGCCAAGGCGGCCCGCGCCUCGAACACCGCCGCCAGGCCCGCCAAGGAGCGCAGGGCGGCGGUCGCGACGACGGCGGUUGGGUCCGUCGGCGCGGCGUCCAGCGGCAGCACACCCAUGGCCCUGUGGUCGGAUGCCAAUGGCACCCCGAGGUCGUCAAUGUACGGCAAUGACCUGUCGCAUCAGCCCGCUGCCCCUGACACCACCGCAAACUACAAAACCAUGGAUGCCAUCAUCCGCUACCACCGAGGCGCCGCUUUCGCCCAGCCGCCUGCCCGCACACUCUCACUCCCAGCCAGCCAGCCAGCCAGCAAGCCAGGACAAGACAGACGCAGUCAUGGGAACCUAACUCGCCCACACAGUCACACAGCCGCCACCAGGCCUCUUACACAAACCGCCAACCCAUCUAUUCUCGUACACCCAUCCACCCAUGCGGAGCCGCUAUCCACACUCUCCCUCUCACACUCUCCCUCUCACACUCUCCCUCUCACACUCUCCCUCUCACACACUCCCUCUCACACACUCCCUCUCACACACUCCCUCUCACACACUCACGCACGUACCUUGACAGCAGCUCCGCCAGCACCCCCACUCCGCCGCACCUCGCCAGCUCCUCCGCGUUACGGCGGCAGGACAGCACCGUCAGCCAGCACAGCUGGGCGGCGCUGCUCACCUGCGGGGGGGGGGAGGCACACGCGCACCCAGUGAGGGGCGGGUGAACACCGAGGGGUGGGGGUGGGGUGGGAGGGGGAGAGCGAGGGUGAAGGGGGGUGGGUAAGACGAACCACACACGAGUGGUGCAGCUGAUACCUCAAGAGAUAGACGGAUACUGCUACGCAGGAAUAGACAGGUAUACAUACAUACUGUAUCAGGAAAUUACCGACCAGUGAUAACUCGGCUAGUAGUCAUCGCGGCGAGGGGGGUCUUCACCAUAACAGAUUGAAGUGGUGAGCACCCAGGCAUGUGGGGGUUCGGUAACGGGGCCCCCCGAGCUACUCGAGCAGUGGAGUGGAAUGGCGACCACGGCGAACACCGCCCCACUCAGCAAGACGGCCGUUGUUGUUUCCCCGCUUCCCUCCACCACCUCCUGGUGCUCAUUGCCACCAACCUGGUCCAGUACUUCACUGGAGAAGAAGCUUCCAGAGGUGGCGGGGGAGGACUCCGCGGAGUAGGCUGUAGCAGUAGCAGUAGCAGUAGCCGCAGUUGCCCUGGCCUGGGUAUUGCCGUCCGUACCUGACGCGGGGCCGCCCUUCUGUUCAGAGCCCAUUGAGGUGGGGGUGGGGGUGGGGGCGGUGGGGGCAGUGCUGCCGCGCGCCGUGCCGCUGCGGAUCGUGUCCAGAAGCAGGCCGUACCCCGCGUACUUGUACGGCGCCAACUCCUUGCCAUACCUGCCGUACAGAACGCAUUGGGCGCGUAGCAGCAGGAGGAUGCGCCAGGGCUGUGGCCCCUGGGCCCCCCCGGCUACACCCGCCUGCAGCCGCUCGUACGCAGCUUGGAUCUGCCGGUCGGCGGGGUGAUGGGGUGGUGGGCGGGGAGGGGGGAUUACGUUGGCGCGUGGAAACAUGGACGUGGACGCGAGUAACAAAGCGCACAGGAGCACGAGUACACACAAAACACACAACACACACACAGGAUAAACACACGACACAAAAACAAAAGAAAACAAAACGAAACUGACUGCGGACGGAAAUCAUCAUCAGCACGUCCCGCGGAGGUACACGCCGUUGUUGGUUUCCAUCGCAGCCCCGGCCCCAACCCCAACCCCGGCCCCACCUUGAGGAACAUGGGCCGCCCCUGGGGGUUCUUGUCCGGGUGGUACUUCCUGCGGCCCGGGGAAGGGGGGUUACGGGUGGUGCGGACCUGCUGGUGCAGGGCAGCGCCAAAGGCGAGGCGGAACGACAACGGAUAUCGACAGCUGAUAUGGCGGACGAGCUUUCGCGGUGGUUUCUGGGCGCAUGAGCGUCCUCUCGAAGGAAUAGACCACGGAGGAGACCAGGCUGAGAGGCAGCUAUCUGAGAACACUUUGGCGCACAACACACAAUACAUGCCGACAGAACCGCGCGGGCGAUUUCCAGCCAGGCAGGCAGGCAGGCAGGCAGGCAGGGGGUAGGUAGGGGGCCCCGCAGCCCACGUUGCCUCCAGUGGACCUCACCUGGCAAGAGCCCGAUAGGCCCUCCGCAGCUCCUCCUCGCCUAUGGCCCCGCCGUCGCACUGCUGACCCGUGGGUCGCAGCCCCAACACCGCGCACGCAUCCGCCUCGCUCAGCGACAGCGGCUGCCGAGCCAGCUCCCCCCGCCACUCCGCCAACAAAGACUGCGAUACGGCGGCGGUGAUGGUGGUGAGAGUGGUGAUGGCGGUGGGACAUAAAGAGAAACGAGAACGGCUCGGGCACACAAGGAUACGGGAAAGGAGCGGGAGGGAGACAUCCGGGCACUUCCCCCCUCAUCCUCCCCUCCUCAUCCUCCUCCCCCCAUCCUCCUCCCACCUGCAGCAGCGGCACGUGGUCCACCAGGGUCCACGUGGGGAAGCGCACCGUAUCCGCCAGAUGCCUCAGAUAGUAGCGGUGGCAGUACAGCUCCCCCUCCAGCUCGGGGUAGGUCAGCGGGGGUAGGGGCGAGUAGUCCCACGUGGCGGCGCACCUCUGGGUCAGGCGCAGGGGUAGAUCACCCAGGUGGGAGGACAGGGCGGGCAGCAGGCGGCCGCGGCGCAUGGCGUGAGUCCAGAUGAGCUCCGGAGUGUCAUGGUCGCCUGCGCCGGGGGAAGGGCGACGGGGGGGACUUAAGUGUUCCCCGAAGGGGAUGACGGGGGGAGCCCCGAAUGGGAGGGUCUAGUUAAGGAGAGGCAGGUAGAGGGCGAGGGUGGAAAGGUAAGAGGCUCAAUCCGGACUUUGAGAUAGCGAAGAGACAAGCGCCUCCUAAUGUGAGCAGGGGACAGUACGCCACGAAGGCAUCGGAGCCACUAGCUGGCGGCUGCCGGCUGGGUUAUCACUGCCGCCUCCACACCCGUCGCCGAUGCCAUUGUUGCUGCUGCUGUUGCUGCUGCUGUUGCUGCUGCUUACCGCACAGCGCAGCCGCGAAGGCGUCCGGUCCCCGAGUCUCCAAUACGUACAGCAAGCUCUCUGGCAGUACAUGGCCCAGGUACGACCGCUGACGAAGCGGCAGUCCAGCCGCCGCGGCGGCACCGCCCGCCAGGCCCGCGAAGUCCUGCGCCAGGUGGGCCCUGCGGGUGGCCCCCCGACACCGACAUACAUACUCAAGACGUAAACAUCACGUGACGCGUGCAUGUGAAGUGCAGGGCAGUCAAGGGCCCGCAGGCAGCUGUCGUCGGAACAGCAGUGAAGCAAAAGGAGUAAGAUGGAAAGUCAGUUCUACCGCACACGGCAAGGAGCUAUCGAAGCGGAGCAGCAGACAGACAACCGGAGGGCGGCAGGCAAGCACCAGCAAAGCGCACACAGACGUUCUUCCUCCUCCAUAAAGAGAAAGAGAAAGCGAGAAGAGAAAGGGAUGAGCACCUGGAAAUCAGCCACAUCAGGACGCACCAGUCGGAGCACAUCUGCAACAGCGGCACAGCCUAGACUACCUGUGCAGCAGGCGCGCGGGAGCCGAGAGGUCAGCCCCGGGGUAGGCCAGUGCGAAGUAGAAGGCCCCGGUGAGGUGCAGUCGGGCCAGGGCGUCCGGGUGGGGGCCCAGCAGGGUGUGCAACAGCUCGCAGCUAGAGGUCACGAUGGGCGGGUGGAAGGUGAGGAGGGCCUGAAGGGGUGAAAAGGGGGGGGGCAUGCAACUGGCUGCAACUGGCUGUAACUGGCUGCGAGUGGCUGCAAGUUCCUUAAAAGGUCUGGGAGCGCGGGGUACAUGUUCGUGUACGUGGUUAGCUGAGUGCAUGUGUAGACUCGCACGAGAGCGUAACCUGCUCCCGGGUGGUGGACGGUGUGGAGGGAGGAAUGGGCGGGCGGAUGAGUGUGAUGGAACGUGUAGGAGGGUGAGAGACGAAACGCUGUCGGAGGUUGGACCUAGAGAGGAGGAAGAGGAAACAGGGGCCACGUCUGUGGUAAGGGGUGGUAGCCGCACGUAACGCCUGCAGGGGCCCUCCUUACAGAGCCCUUCCCGCCCUAGUUGCAACAAGGGCAUCUCCCCCCCAAGACACACACACACACACACACGCACACACACACACACGCACACACGCACACACGCACACACGCACACCCACCCACACGCACACACGCACACCCACCCACACGCACACACGCACACCACGUCGCCCAACCCCCCUCCCGCUGCGGGGCCCACCUGACACAGGUGUGGCAGACAACGGGGACCCGCCAGGAGGCGGUACGCACGUGGCAAGGGCUGUAGCACCAACCCCUCCUCCUCGUCCACGGCAGGCUGUAGCUCCAGCAAGCGCUGCAGCAGCUGUAGCGCCAGCUCGGCGGCCGAGUACGGGCUAAAGCGGCCGGGACCUGCAUCAAUCAGCGGCGGCAAGGGUGAGAAAAAGGGAGGACCGCAGGCUAAUCACAUGCAAGAAGCAAGGGGUCGACCGGACGGGGCGGGGGCUAUUCACAGGACACAAUACGGAUCGGGAUUUCUAUGAAUUAUAAAUCCAAACCCGGUGGCUGCCCGGCUGUCGACAUCAGCAAGUUUGAAUUUUUGGAAUGCCGCUGCUUGCCGCUCACCUGUCGCUAGCAUCCAGCGCAGCUCUCGAAUGGCACCCAGCGGCUCAGGACGCUGCAUGUCGUUGGCCCAACACAGCGUGCCCAUGUCGACCGACCCACGGGCCACCAGCUGCCGUAUCUCGUCCCUCGUGUACGGGCCCGCUCGCCCGGUCUCAUCAGGCUUGCGGCCCAGCAGCGGGUCCGAAUCCGACGCCUGCACAGCGGCAGUCGCGGGCAGCGGACGCGACGCCGCGACGGGAACCUCGUCUCCUAGCAAGUCACCUGGCGGCGGCGGCGCCGCAGCUGGCGGCAGCACACCCCGCGGAUAGAAGUACCACUCCUUGGGCAUGUCUUCGUGCCCCACGGAUGUCAGCAUAAGGCCCGCUUGCGCGCCGACCUGCUGCUGCCGUUGCGCCGCUGCGGAGGCGCCGCCACCGCCACCGCCCCACACGCCGGCCGCGGCGGCGAUGCCUACGGAUCCACUGCCACCGCCACCCUCCACCAUUGCGCCACCCGUGUGCGCAUACGCCACAACAUCCGUCAGCAGCUCCAGUCCACCAGCAUCCAUAAAGGCGUAGCUGUUCGCCCGCACCGCCCGCGCGGCGGGGCUGAUUACGGAGGAGGCAGCACCGCUGGCUGCGGUACCAGCGGCCGCCGCCGUCAGGCAGCGCGGCGCUAGCAGCGCCGCCGCCAGCUCUAACAACGCGUGGCGCAACGGCCGCCGGGGGGUGUAGUCCAAUACACGGACCAGGUGGUUCAGGCCGUCGGCGGGCCCUAUGGCCCCGGCAUGGGCGUGGUACACGGCGGCCAUGGCUCGCGCACACAGCUCCUGGUCAGCCGCCGCUGCUGCCGCGGCCGCGGCCGCAGCUGCUGUUGAGGGCGAAGAUGCUGUGUGUGGCGAGCCCGCAGCAGCAGCAGCAGCAGCAGCGGCAGCUGCGGUGCCCGUGGCGGCGGGAGACAAGUCCUGGAUCACCGGGUCGGCCGCGCAGAGGAAGGCUUGAUGGAGCGAGUUGAACAGGUCCCGUGGCUGCGGUACUUUGCUGACGGCGGCUGUGGGCAGGGCGGCAGCGAGUCGGGACGCGUUUGUGUUGUGUAGGGUGUGUGUGUGUGAGGGGUCAGGGACCCCGUGAGGGGGGGAAACGGGCGGUUUCGGAUACGGCGGAAAGGCUAAGGGAGGAGAGGGAAGCAGAACGGACGAGAGAGGGACUGUACGGGUACUCUGGGAGCUAUUUGGGUGCCCUCCCCCCUUCAAAACCCAUUUCCCAGCGGCGGCACACCGGCGACCUCAUCACCCAUCAGCCACCUCCCACACAGCCACACACCGCUAGACACUCGCCCCCCGGCGGGCACCCCGCCAGCCAGUCCGCACCGGUGUCCGCCCCCUCCAGCAGCAGCCGCACGUAAAUGCCCCCCACCACGACGUGCUUGGACAAGCUGGGGUAGGUCACUCCGAACUCCUCGUAGUUCCAGCCCAGCUGCAGGCCGCCACCGCCGCCGCCACCAAGCUGCUGCCGACGAGCCCUGAUAUCGCCGAAGACAAAGCAGGAAAAAAGAGGGCGCGAUGCGUCAAGGCACGUCAAGGCACGUCAGGGCACGUCAAGGCGAGGCGAAUCGAUGAGGUGAAUGAACGAGCGCCGUGUGCCCCUCACCCUUCAUGGCCACUUUCAUGGUGUCAAUGGCAUCCGUACGGCCCCGGACGCGGAAGCUGCAGCUGCAGCUCAGCUCCGGGACCGGGGUAAUCGUAGAGGGACGGAAUUUUAGGGGAAAGAGUUGUUGACUGUCGACGACCAAUGAAGAAAUGAGCACCAAAACUGCCUUUGGAAAUGGAGAGAAGGGUUAUGUCCACUCAGAACGCGGCCAGAUGGGUGAUAAGGUGUGUAAGGUGGGGGAAGUGGAACCGCAAGGUCGCACCGGGGGGUGCCGCGCCAUGCGCAUCGCCACCACCAUCACCACCAGCUUCCCGUCUUCCAGCUUCGCCAGGGUUUUUAUAUUCACACGUUUUCCCGCCGGCUCCCAGUCCGUCCACCCCAUCUCACCUGAGUCCCCCCUCCUCACGCUCCAGGGCCUCACGGAGCUCCUGCAGCGCGCAGGAAGAGGGGGGAGGCGAGGAGGGGUUGACGGAGGAGGCAUGUGGGAAGAUGGAGGAGGGCAAACAGCAGGUGAAGCGGAUUCUAACGUCCGCAGGAAAGGUGCUGUACGACGAGGAGAGCAGCUCCAACUGGACGGUUCGUUGCCGUGUUGCCGUGCGGCUCACACUGCAGGUCCUUCAGAGUUCAUAAGCAAACUGGGCCUUGCGGCGAGACCCCAUUCCGCGAACUGAUCCUUCCUUAGCUUCAAGCGAUUAGCUCCGGAGUACGUAAUGAACACAAACACAUGCAUACAUACAUACAUACACACCCCACUACAAUCCAAUAUCGCACCUGGCGGCAGCCUGCGUGCCAUAUAAGGCCUGCGUGGCAAUGAUCCCGCAUGGCCGCCUCCCAAAACGCCUCCCAGUUGCCUUUGAGGCCGAAUGAUGUGCUGGCGGCGGCGGCAGUGCUGGAUGUGGGAAGAAUCCCGAUGGUGGACGCGGCGGCGGCGGCCGGCGUCACAGGGCUUGUUAGCCCUGGGUGCAGCCCGGGCGGAGACCCCACAUGCGCAACACCCGGCGCAGCAACCGCGGGGGAAGGUGAUGGAGUGGAACCGUCGCCGAUGCCGUUGGCAGAAGAGCGCUGCAGCUGCGGUGGCAGCGGCGGUGGCGCCGCCGCAGCCGCCACGGCCGCAACCUCGCCGCCGGUGGCGAUGGCGGCCGCCGUAGGGUGUACAGCCGCGGCCGCAGAGGUGCCGGUUGCUGACCUACCUCCUCCGGCACCGCCGCCUCCGCCACUGACACGCGGCGAGUUGAGGUAGCGCACAAGCCCCGGCGGGAAUAUCCUGGAAGGCCGGGGUUGAGCGGCGGAUGCGGCCGCACGUGAGAGUUCACCCAAAUGACAGUCCCACUUGUCCCCAUCCCCAUCCCCACCCACCCAAGCCGUCAUAUGCCUGUGGCACCCUUCACAGCUCUCACAUCGUUGCGGGGCCCAUGUCCCUAGGCGCCAGCCCGCGCCUAUCAAGCAGUGCUAUCCCGGCAGCAGCCUACUGCCUCGCACACAGCGAGGGGCCCCAACAAGGAGGGCAACCGCACUCCUCCAGGGGGAUAUCCCACUCGCCGGGGCUCACAUCCGAACCACCCGAUACCCCCACCUGCGUAGCAGCGCCAGCGCAGGAGCGUACUCGUCGCACCAGGACGCCACCAGCGCGCGACCCAGCUGCUGCCGUCCGGAAGCACUACCGCCGUCUCCGCUCGCCGUACACGUUGCCGGGGCGCUGCUGCCGCCACCGCCACCGCCGCCGCCGGCGGCCGCUGCUGCAGCCGCCGCGGCAAACAGCGCGGCGUGCAGGUGGUGCAGUACGGCACCGUGCCUCAAUGCCGCUUGGCGCAUGGGUGCCGCAGCGGCCGCGCCGCUCUCCGCCACUGCGCGCAUCAGCAGCGCGGCGCCCUGGGUGACCCGGGGGGCGGGGUGGUGACACAGCGCAAAGAGCGGCGGCCCCAGCGCUGCCGCCUCCUGCGGGGUGAGGGUAUGUCAGCAGACACGUGGGCCACGACCAACGACCAAGGGGGGACUACGGGCGACGCGGGAGUACGGUACACGCAGAGCCGUCAACACCACUCGGUCACGCCGGAACAACCCGCCCGCCCGGCCCCUAUCCAGCCCCCAGUCCACAGAGAUUUCACGUACAACUCAAGGUCCCGUAAUUGCGAGCCGCCCCAAGCCCUACAUAAAGCCCUACUAUGUAAGGCCAUAGGGUUUAGNNNNNNNNNNNNNNNNNNNNNNNNNNNNNNNNNNNNNNNNNNNNNNNNNNAGGNCCGCCAGUGNCCGAUUAUCAGUGGACCUGCAGCCGGGUUCCACCGCCACCGCGCCUACAGCCUCCAGAGCACACGCCACCAGCAGCGCACCCGCCGCGCCGCUGUCAGCGCCGCCACCGCCGCCGCCGCCGCCAGCGGCGAUCCCGCUGCCUGUGUGCGCGGAGCUGCUUAACGUCAGCUGUGAUGGCGGCCUGCGGCCGCCGCCGCCAGCGGCGGCGGAUGCCGGGCCGCCACCUCCACCACCGUCCGCCGGACCGCCACCGCCACCGCCACCGCCGCCGCCACGCAGCGGCCGCAUCAGUGCUGCACAGCGGCUUGAAACGAUGGAGGGUCCGAAGCAAAGCGCCUUGGCGGCACGAGCGAGUGAUAGAUCCUGUGGGGAGGGUGGGGGGCAGGGCGUAACGAGGAGCUUUCUCGCCCCUCUUCCUAAGGUGCCAGGGUUCACAGAUCACCUGAUCAAAUCCCGGACACCGAUAUUAAUUCAUCCAAAAGAAGAGGGAACUCCACCAGGUUACCCGUGUAAAGUCAAGUCCCUUCUCGACAACCCCAGCUGGCCUCUAGCACAGCAAAUUCCACAUUAUUUCGAACUUUCCCAUCUGCGCAAACACGCACUGUUUCCUAGGCCAUGGCUGUCUUGCAAAAUCCUCUAGGUUCCCUUCCUUGCCUUUUCAGCCCCUCCCAUCCCUUCCGCUCCCUCCUCUUGCCGCGUCCCCGCUGCCCUUCCACCGGCUCGCUUCUCAGCCGCUUCAGGACGUGUACUGUACAUCUGCUCUGCAUUUACCGUGCAGGACAUGUAUUGCAUUUCAUUCCAGUUUUUUACCUUUCCCUUCCUUUCCCUCCCCUUUCCUUCCCUUCCCUGUUCAGCACUGCCCCUCAGGGCGCUUCCCCCCUCCUUCCCCCCCCACCUCCGGGUCACACCCCGACAGCGGAUCAUCCGAGUCCGCAAGCAACGUUGACAGGGAGGGCGCCGCGCGGAGGCCGCUCCAGGGGGCUGUACGGCAGCACGAACACAACAGUACGGCACUCCGCGCAUUAUCAAUAAUAAUAACAAUUAUCACAAUCCUCAGGACAAUGGCUGGCGUGUCGUGCGUUCAAGCCACAGGCGACCGUGCCUAUCUUGUACUGUAGCUUUGGCACCGGUAAUGCUGGAGGAAAGGGCUGUACAGGGACGGGAACCCGGGAAAGACUACCCAGGCACCAGCGGCGUGGAGAAUGAGAUCCAGAUCCACAAGGGGAGGGACGGGACACACGCACGCACAAGCAACCAGCGUGCACACACCCCCGGGCCCCACCCCAAAAAGCCCUCCGCUGCCCCCACACCCCACACCUGCGCCCACUCUUGCCGCCGCCGGCGCCCACAGCCUUGUGAGCAGCCUGGCCGCCUCCGCCGCGACGCCGUCAUGGCCGCAGCCGUACGCCGCCAUCACCCGCCCCACCGCCGUCGGGAUGCCCAAGAAGACCUCCGCCAGCGAGUGGCAUGACACCAGCCGCUGGAGGGCCUGAAGGGGGGGAGGGGGGAUAGAAGACGUGUGGAGGGAGGGAGAGUGCGGAUUUGGGGGCGGGGCCAUGGCACGUCGCUAAACGGUGAUGACCAGAAACACAUAUUAUAUAUCUUUUUUGUGGACAAAAGGACAGACAUACAGAAGUACAGGUAGGUAGACAGAUACCUUCACCAACGUGCAGCUUAGCAACGCGCUCAAAAAAGAUACACAUACACACGAAAAACCAGCACAGCACCGGUGGUAUAGGGUAGAGGCCGGGUGAGGGAGUGUGUGGGGAAGAGGGCCUGCGGGGUGAGACACGGGGUUGCGCGCACUCUGGCAGUUGUGGCGGUGGGCGGGGGGGGCACGCACAUGUACACGCCUGUGGCGGAUGCCGUCGUCCCGUUUGCGCUCAGGGUUGGGGUUGGGGUUGGGGUUGGGGGGCUGCACAGCCUUUUGAAGCAUCCAGCUUCAAUAGGGGGAAGGACGUCAUUCACCCCUCCGCAAUCCCAAGAUCCCUCCCGCUGCUCUGGGAGAGGAAGGUGGGAAGGCGGGAGACGCGGCCCCCCAAACCCCGCUGCCCCCCAGUGCCUCACACACACCUGCAGGGCCGCGAUGCUCUGUUUGGCGUCGUCCGGGGACAUGUGGCUGAGCGGCACGGGGCCGGGCACCAAGUCGGGGUGCAGCAGAGGCAACACACAAGACAACGCCUGCUCGUCCAGGCGGGUGCCGGCGGCAACGCCGGUGUACGGCACGGAGGCGUUGAAAUCAUGUACGGCAUCCAGCAUGGUUUCCGUGGCCUGCGCACGGGCAGCACCAAUUAAGGACGGCAGCUUGCGAAUGUUGUUCAGAACGAGUCGACUUUUAAUUGGAAGACAGCUCCUUCCACACGUAAAGAGAAACCCAUCCCGGUGGCGGUCAACUGAAAUGUUGUGCCAGUGCCGUACUGAAAUCACGACUUGUGAAGUUCAGCCCCAGUCACACCCAGUCUCACAUCCAAUGAUAUGUGGACAUGUUAGGGUAGCAGGCGCAAACCCCGGGACACUGCGGCUCCAUACCCCGGGGAGGGGGAUAUCCCCGCCUGCUGCUGCUGCUGCUGCUGCUGCAACCCAGGAAGUGUCCUCGCCUGCUUCAGUGUCCCUAGACCCCUCCCCCAUCUCCCCUACCAAGUCUAACUUCCCCCCCCUUCCUAAUCAUGGCCUGUGCAGACAACCCCCCUCACCAGGCGCAACGCCACUGCCACACGAGUGCUCUCAGCGGCGGUAGCGCUGUUGAACUGCCCGGAGAGUACGACACCGGUUUGCGGCGGCGGAGGCGCCGCCGUUGCCGCUGUGUCUCCUCCGCCCUUGCUGUACUGCCGGUUUGACCGCGGGUGCUCGUGUUGCUGCGAGGUGGGGGAUGUGAGUGCGGCCAGAGUGCUGGGUGUGGGGGAGGUGGAUGAGAACUCGAUUUCCGCCGAGUAGAACAUGCGACCUGCACCGGUGCAGUGAGGCAGUGAGUCGAACGGAGGGGUUCAGGCGGGCCGUGUGGAAAUAAUGAAUGGAGGCGUUCAGCACCGCACUGAGCCGCUGCUGCCUAACUUGAGCUGCUGCUGUCCCCCCACGCCACAUCACAUCACAUCACAUCACAUCACAUCACCACCACAAGUACUGCUACUAUCGCUACUACCACCCUCUUGCAUGUAACCCUUGUACAGUCCCAGCCUCUCUACGGACCUAGGCAAUUGCUCACUUAACGUUUGCCUCGUACAACUCCCCAUUUGCUGCUCUUGCACCUCGCCCUCCUCCCAGCCCCCUCCGUUAACCCCCUCCGUUAGCCCCUGCUCCACCCACCCGAGCUGGAGAGAUGCGGCCAGGCCUCCCGGGCCCGGGCCGCCAGCUGCUCCACACACCACCGCUCGGUCUGGAGGGCGGGAAGGGGUUAAGGGGGGAGGGGGGGGAGGAAGACGAACCACUGACGAUUAAGCAGAAGGGGAAGGGGAGUAAGGUAAGGUGAGGUGAAGUGGUUUCGAAACUUGUUACCAGAAACAGACAACGGACAACCGAAUGUGGGCUGUCUUAGGUCAUCUCGACAUGGAGGUGGUCGUUGACAAGUGCCAAGGUAAAGCCCGCCCGCCGUCACAUACAGCAAUAACAAGAUCGCCGAGCUCGCCGCUCCGUCCCAAACUCUCCCCCCACCCCACCCCCAGUCUCCCUCUUCCAGCCCGCUUCAGCUUUUCACUUCUUCAUGGUUCAUCUUGCCCCCGUAGCCCCCUCCCAGGGCCCCCCUCUCCUGCCGCACCUCUGCGUCCCUGUUCAUGGCCGAGCAGUGGCAGGACAGAAAGGCCGCAGCUGAUCCCACGAUGGGGUCACCCGGCGGGGUGAACCCGGGCAGGACGGGAACUGGCCGACCGGCUGCGCACUGCGGCAACGGGGGAAGGGGGGAGGUGAAUAUGUGUAAGUGAGGUAGGAGGGGGUACGAGGGGAGAGAAGGGGAGAGCGGAGGGUGGGAAAGGGGACGAUGCGAGCGGCGGUGCAAGCGGGGCGGGUGGCUGAUGGCUUCCACCGGGGUAAGGAAGACCGGGAGUGGGCGAGGGGCGACAAUGGUGGCGGCGGCGGCGGUGGAUGACGAAGAUGGUGGGGGGGGAGAUGAGGGAAGGUCGGGGUGGUCCGGGGUGCGAGAGAUCCUCAAAUACCCAUGCACCAAAGGAUAGCAGCUCACACGCGUUGGAAUCGCUAAUAGUGCAUCCGGCACAUCCCGGCCCCGACGUUCCCCCUCAGGCCUCCCCUUUCCCCAGGCGCCACAACCCCGCUCCCACCCCCGCCCCACCUGCACCAUAUCCAGCAGUGCCGCUAGCACCCCGUCUCUAGCCGCCCCCGCCAUGUACAGGGAGGGGGCCACACCGUCCGCCCACUCCACACCGAGCAGACCAGGCUCCUCAGCGAAACGGAGGAGAGCCGACACGCUCCUGCGGGAACAGCAGCACACACCCCAACAACAACAACCCCAUUACCAUCACCAGCAGCAGCGGCCAUGCAAGAUAAGACAAGACAAGAAACGCCGGGACGGCGGCAGUGGAGACUGAGUUCUGACGGGAUAGGAAAGGAGGGAGAGGCGGAAAAGGGAAGAUGAUCAAAUCGGGGUAGGCGGCCCGAAAGCGUGUGUGUGUUUUCCCUCCUCUCACCCCAGCAGCCGGCGCUCCUCCACGUCGUACGUCGUGGCGUCGCGUUCCAGCAGCCAUGACCGCGUUAUCGCCAGACGUCGCGGUGCCGUAUGCGCGCCAGGACUGUACGACAACGAGGCCGCUGCUGCCGCCGCCGCCUGCUGCUGUGCCGUCGGGUCCAGGGAGGCCGGAGGUCGGCAGCGGACCUGCAUUGCGGGCUCCAGGAAGGCCGCAAGCGGCGGCUGCGCGUCGUACCUGCCACAGGACACCCAUAUCAUCGUGCGCGCAGCGUCAGCAUUGUCGUAUAGUGUCGUACAGCAGGACAGGUAACAGGGCAGCGGCAGUGCCCUGCUCCAUUCUCGCACCCACUUGCCCAGGCCCAUGACAGGCAAGUCCCGCCUCACCAGCCCCAACCCACCGGGCCUUUUCGUUCCAGCCCCAGCGGGCCAAUCCCUCCCCUCCCCUCCCCUCCCCUUCACCCUCACCUGGUACAUAGCCGGGCCACCUCCCACUCCGCCACGGGCGCCUCCCCGGGUGCGCUCAGCGCCUGCCUCUCACCACGUGCCACCGCCUCAAGUAGGGCUGAGGGACUUGAGCCGCUGGCGUGGUCAGCUGGGAGCGGGUGUGAGUGUGUGAGUGUGUGAGUGUGUGGGUGUGUGGGUGUGUGAGUGUAUGAGUGUGAGAUUGUGUGCGUGUGGGUGAGUGCCUCCCCGCGCAAGGAAGGCGCCCGGGUAUGAGGGAGUGAUCCCUAGGACAGCGCUACCGCCGCGGAGAGGCGGGUGAGGGAGUGCGCGCGUGUUUGAUAGACACUGGCGGGGUACGCGCGGGUGGGAUUUAAAGGAGAGCAACCGGAGGUGAGAGCACCGGAGGUUGCGGACCCACGGAAACUCUCAGACACAACUGGCUCCCCCCUCUCUCCAACAACCCGUGCUACCCCCGCAUUGGGAGUCCCGUGGGGCAGUCUCCCCUCCGCCACCGUUCAUGGCUUCUACCCCUGUGUGGGCCCCUGCAGGUCACACCGCUUCGAGCUGCCAGGCCCCUACAUCCAUCCCCAAACAAUUCCAUUGGCCCCUCCCUCCUUCCCCUUCCCACAUCCCCCCAGCACCCACACACGCCCCAGCCGCGCCGCCACCCACCUACGAUAUUCAGACCCAGCCGCUUCUGCGCCGUGGCUGCCAUGUGCCCCAGCACCACGUCCCGCUGCCGGCACGCCAGCAGGCGGGGAGCCCGACUGGUGCGACCGAACACGGCAAAGGGGCCCUCGGGGGUGGGUGCCAGGCCGUAGGAGGAGGUGGUGGACAGGCCGCCGCCACCCGCACCCCCCACCCCUCCUCCGUCCAUGUUGCUGUGAAGGGGCUCCGGAACCAGGGGCGCGAAGGCCACGGAGCUCAUGAGGCAGUAGUCCAGGCGCCACGUGGGGCAGCCUGAUGGCGCGGGAGCAUGUGUGUGGGGAGGGGGGUUCAGCUUCCUGACACUCCUGCCCUUAGCGGUAUUUCGAGAGCGGCGGACCGCAUGCAGUGGACGCCGUGCUACGGCCCUGCGGAGCCACGACACCAGGUGGGGAGUAUCAUAGUUCUUGUCCUUAAUACUUUUAUUUUGAUCUCCAUCUUCUCCAUCGUCCCCACCCCUCCGGUCGCUCUGAGAGAACUAAUUUUUUUCCGCCACAUCCCGCGAGUCCGUUGGCCGUUGGCGGUUCACCGUUGUAGUAACUUAACCAGUACCCAUAUACAUGUAUAUAUUAGUAGCCAUAUGUAUCACCUCCUCACCCUCCAUGUCCACCAGCUCCAGGCCGUACCCCGUGACCCUCAGCGUGGUGGGUCGCCAGUGCCCCCCCGACCACUCGUACCCGGGGAAGUGGUCUGGGGAGCUGCGGGAAAACACAGCAGGGCAGUGCGGUGUGUUGUGGGUCACCCCUUACGCAAACUUACUGUGCUGCAGAGCGGUGGUCCAGGACCGCAGCGUGUUAACUAGCAGGAAACGGAACGUAGCCCCGAAGGUGGAGGUGGAGAUACAGGUGGAGAUGGAGGUGGAGGUGGGGAUAAAACGCGAUCGGGUUCUGGCCGUGCAUACAGCAAGAGAGUGAUGCAUGCAAGCCAGGGGUAAAAACCGACCCAACAAGACAGGCGCAUGCGGGGUGGCGGGGAAAGCGGGAAGGCGGAUCACCAUCAGAUAGCUGUCGCGCCGCCGAACAGCUCCCCAUCAGACAUCUGAACACCUCUCCCAGCAGCAACUGAAUCCCAACCGAAUCCCAGGAACUGAAUCCCGACAACUAAAUCCCAACUGAAUCCCAACUGAAUCCGAACGCCCCACAAUGGAGAUGAGGCGUGCGAAACCCAGCGGGGCGCAGCCGCAGUGAUGGCGAUUGCAGUGGGUGCACCCUCCUAAGCCCCACCCUCCGCUCUCCCCCCUCAGGCCCCCCGUUCACCCUAUCAGUCGUGGGGCGGAUCCACAUCUCCCCCGCAGGUGGCCGGACGCAACCGAAUGGAACAAGUCCGUGAGCAGGCGGGCGCGGUGGCUGCAGCUGAACUUGAUGGGCUUGAACUUGCUCUGAAGGGUCCGCGGGGAGGGCAGGAUUGGGGGUUCAAGGGCGGGGCCCGGUGAGGGUUCGUGGGGGCGGCGGGAAGCGCAUCAGAGCGCGCGCGGAAUAGAGGGCGGCUCGAAUGGGGUAGGGUGAGGGAUCGGUGAAAAAAGGGUUCGGGGCCAGCGGGGAGGGCUGAUGCGGAUAUUGUGUGUAUGUGUGUGUGUGUGUUUUACACGUUGAGUUGCGUUACCCUUCGAAAGUGUAAGUUAUUGAGUUAGAUAGUAACACUGCAGGACGAAAGGAAAGAGGGACGGUGGGGGAUGGAGGCAAGGUAGGUUUCGGGCGGCGAUCAGGUGUGGCUGAGUAUGUAUUGAAAGUUGAGAAGCUUUGGACAAAGAGGCACGGAAUGCUGGAAACAGCCCUGCGGGUAAGCAUUUACCGGGGUAAGCAGGAAGAAUUGUUAGGGGGCCUGCACUGCUGCUGCUGAUUUGCUGACGUAAGAUUGAGGCGUGAAGGCGCGGCAUUCACGUGGCAGCUGCAGGGCCGUGGGUUUCAAAACGGGUGAAGGCGGAGGAGCCGGUGAUCAGCGCGGGUUCAGUUUAUCCGCGCUGGGACGGCCCGCACCUUUUUGUCCUGCCUUGCGCAGAUUGUGAACUCGCCCUCUGCCUCGUUGCCAGUCCCGAUGGAAAUGCUUUCAAUGUCGGAGUCCCCCGAAAAAGCGUAGGUGUUUGUGAUAGCCAUUCCGCUUUCAGGGUUCUGUGUGACAACGGCAUCCGGCGUGAUGCACAAGAUCCGCCGAUAUUUCCCUCUCCAGCUAUGCUUCGUAACAACAUAUCGGGCGAGACAGUUAGCAGGCUUUUGCUGUGGCGCGGAGUGCCAGUUUAGUAGGUCCAUCCUAACGAGCGAGCCUCCUACUUCCGAGACCCCUACUGAACCAAAAAUCUUUUUCCUACUUCAUCUGUUGCUAUGCCACUGUCCAAGGUGCUUUACCGAUUGUAAUUUUCUUUGAGCAGCUAACUUGCCCAACGGUUGAGAUGUUUAUAUACGAAGUUAUUACAUCUCAGUAGGAAGCUUGACUCAUUUCGCAUACGUGUGCCACUUGUACAUGAUCUACAGGGAUUGCGCCUUUCCCUUCAUCAACCGCCUGAGAAGUGCCGUACCGUAACUGCCACCCAACGCUACCCAAGUCUCCAACCCUACACCUCAGUUCCAUAGCACCGUGCAGGCAAGAUAAACGAGAAUGAAAUAACACAGCCAACAUCGUUCUCAACCUAUGUCCAGUAUCGCUCGAGCCGAAACGACGACACCUCAAGCCUGCAGCUGCGCAACCUCACGCGUCUGCAGCAGCUGCGGCUUCGCAAUGAUAGCGUCAAUAAGGCCAUACUCAAUGGCCUCUUGCGGCGACAUGAAGAAAUCGCGAUCGGUGUCCUUCGUUAUGGUCUCCAUCGACUGGCCUGAGAACUGAGCCUGGAAUUAGGAAAAAAUACAGCGCAUAGCAUUACCAUAUUGCGCGAGUUUCUCAUAUAAUAGUUCCAAUAAGCCCAGUUCAACCUUAAGUCUGGGCCGAAUCUCCCUAGCACGCCACAUCGUACCAACUACAUAAUCUGUGCAUCCUCGGUUUCCCGCCCCUCCCUCCACCGUAUAACCCUCUCCCACACGCCGCAUGCCCUCCAGUUGUCUCAAUUGGAACUCGGACAUCGACGUCCUAUGCUACACAAUAGGAGCAAGCUCAUCCUUACGGCCGAACCUCAGUCAAGCCCAACCCCGCUCUACUAAUUUGUGUGUAAGCCCCACCCAUUCCUGACCUCGGCAGCCCGCAUGCACUCACCAAGUAGCCGUUGAGCGUUAGCUUGUGGUGCAGAAUCUCGUUGGCCUGGAUCUCAAUAUCUGUGGCCUGGCCCUGGGCGCCACCCAGCGGCUGGUGAAUCAUGAUGCGGCUGUUGGGCAGGCUGUAGCGCUUGCCUUGCUGGCCCGAGGUCAGGAUGAAGGCACCCAUGGAGGCGGCCAUGCCGAUGCAGCAGGUGCUGACAUCGGGGCGGAUGUGGCGCAUUGUAUCGAACACCGCCAUGCCUGCAGAAGGGGAAGACGCGGGGAACGGAAAUUAGAGGACGCAGCAGCGAUCGAAGAAAGGGAGGACGGGAAGUGAGGGGAGCGAGACCAACAACAAACGAUGGAAAGCAGAUGACCAGAUACUGACAGAAAGAUACUGCAGGAAUAUUUGUAAUUAAACGGAAAGAGGGAAGAGCAGUACGGGACGCGAAGCGCAUCCACACCGGCACUGGAGACCCUGGGAUGCGGAUGAGCAGUGAUGACGUUAGUUCGGCCGGUAGGGGGGACGGAAACGCUGGGGAGGGCGGACUAACGGGGUAAGACGGGAAGGGCUGUUUAGGUGGCUGUGACUGAGAGCGAACGCAGAACCCCUGUCCCCACCUGGUAACAAUCGGAGGGAAGAGACGGCCGACGGGAAUCCCAAUACCAUCCACGGCCCCUUCGUCCUGGCAGUAGCAACCCACUGCGCCGCGGCCCGCUUUGCAGGACCCUACCGUGACGCGCUGACGACUAGAGAAAUCCCUUACCUGCUGUAACGGAGCCACCCGGCGAGUUGACGUACAUGGUGAUGUCCCGCUUGGGGUCCACGGAGUCCAGGUACAACAACUGAGCCACCAGCAGGUUGGCCAUAUCGUCAUCCACUGCACCGCCCAGGCGCACGAUACGCUGCAGGGACCAAAGCAACAAAACCAACCCACGACAGUUGAGCGCCUAGGGCUCUAAGACGGUGCGAAGGCGUUCACCUUCUGUGUAGCAGGUGGAGUGUGUGAAGCGCAGGAAGGGCAGGAUAGGGUGGUCUGUGGCAAGGCUCGAGUCCCCCAGGGCUGAAAGAGUCGUACCUGCUGGAACAGUUGCGACACGACGCCCUGGAAGCGCUCAAUCACUAGCGGGUUAGGCGGAGGUGGACCCUGGCAGAUAACAGGGGGAUGCGGGUCGCGCGAUGAUACCGCAAGCCUGCAACCAUGGGAUGUGAGGACCGAACCACAGCGCCAGGUUACCAUGUUGUGCCUGGACGAAGCAUUCCUAUGUGCGUUACGGUGUGAAGUGCGCAAUGAAGGGGCAAAUGGUAGUGCAAGACGCCGCCCUAGUAGUAGGACGUGGUGCAGUUGGCCGUCAGGAUUGGGCAGCAAGAUCAGCCAUUGUUUAAGCCAGAUCAUUUGUAGUAUUCACAGGCCAGUUGUAACUUACUUCACCUCCGACGAUGGGACCCAAAGCUGAGCCCUUGGCACCGUCGCCCGCCGGCUACGUGUUGUCCGCGCCGAUGCAGCCGCGGAGCACUUGCUUUGGAAAACCAGCUGAGACAUUCUCAACAAGGCGUCAAGCAAGUUGCUGGUAGCGAAGGCCAAGUAUAGUCGACUCUCACCCACACGGCGUAUCCCCUCACCGGUAUGGUCAGGCCUAUACUAAUACCCGACGGGAAUAUUGUGUUUCCGUAACACUGCACACCGAACCCAGCAAUCGAGAAAGGCAAGCUGGCGGAAAAUCGUACUGAACUAAAUCGUGCAUAUUGGAAAGUUUCCAGCACGCAUGUGCAGUCUCUUGUAAAUCUUCAAUAAUAUUCGAAUAAAACGAUAAGGCGAAGUGCUGCUUGUAAGGCAAACCAAGGCGAAAUCCUUUCCCAAAGGACGUGCUCCUUCUGCAAGACGUUGUGUUUUUGUCUUGUUUCACGCCACUGUAGUGUCUACUCCUCUGUUAUUUAGGAUUAUAGAACUGUCGGUGUUAGCAAGGUAGCCGUAAGAGCUGACGGCUUCAGCUUGACGCCGGACCCAUGGAGAAGCAUCACUUGCUCCGUCGUGACCCUAACUGGCACCCAAACGGUUGUAACCUAUGCGGUCAGGUGCGUAGAACGGAACUGUUUCACGAGAGGCGAGCAGCUGGAAACCAAUCUGAACGCUAUGCCGUCCGCGCAGCUCGGUCACCAAGCGGCGAAUUGCCCGAAUGGAACCAUCAACUGGAGGCAGAUCUAUGGCGAUGAGGCAUUUAUCAUGCGGCAGCCCAUAUAUUACUCCGACAUCCAAGAACGCAUACAGUUAAAGGAAGACGGUAUGAAGGACCUUGAAGCAAGAGCACAAGCAUACGCCAAGGUGCGUCUUUCCCAAGGAGUGUGCUAGGAUAAGGGGUGGUGCGCGACAGCAGGGCUUGGUGGGCCCAGCACCGGGGGGGCUAGGGGUCCAGGGAAGAGGGGGAUCAGGUCAGUCGCACGAAUAGCGCCGCCAAGCUGGCAUGUUUGACCAUUCGGGUGACAGGGGAUUCCCUACGGCUUUACCGCUUUUGUCCACCACUUGCAGACCAAGGCAGAGGAGCUGGGCCUCAACUGGGCUGAGAUCAUGGCGAGGGCUGAGGAGUUGCGCAACAAGGACCCUUCGGAGGUCAUUCCCAAAGUGGCGGCAGCGGCAGGUGCGGCGCAGGGUUCUGGGGUACGGUAGAGGCAGGACACAGGAGGGGCGUGCAGCCUGGGCGAGGAGGGAGCUGGGGGUGGCGGGGCGGGGCAGGGACGAUGGCAGGGUAAAGGGGGCUGGGAUUGCUGGGCCCAAUGAUUUAGGUGGGAUCCGUGGCGUUGCAGGCAUGGUAGGGGGGGUAUAGACAUACGUGGCAAGGUGUGGUACGGCCAGAGGUGCCCCGGGGGGUUGUUCAGGCGGUUACUGUGUUGCGAGGUAACCCGUUUCAGGCCCGUUGUGGAUCAAGGGUUAUGCGAGACUGGGGGGCCUGCAGAGUCAGGCUUCCAUGCCAGUUUGCGUUCUACAUUUCCUCAACCCCCUUUUCCCUCUGGAUGUAACAUCCCUUUUCCUUUGCCGCAGGCGACGAGCUUCCGCCCGGCUGGGCCGUGGCGACGGACCCCAACGGCCGACAGUACUUCUGGCACAAGAAGACACAGAAGGUGCAGUGGGAGCGGCCCACAGAGGACACCCCCAUCAGCUGACGCCCGGAGAAAAUGGGAGGAACGGAGAUCGGCGAGGUGGCGCCGUGCAGGGAGGGUACAGAUGCGGGGACCUGCCCUGGCGAGUGGCCCUGCCAGGUGGUGCCCUUCCUCUCGUUACGGGCCUCGACAGCCAUUGGCCAGACCCCGGAGAACGUUUGUGGAGCGGACCGUUGCUGCAUCAGCGGUGCACUGCUCCUCCUUUUUUGCAUCUCCCAAGGUCCCCCUUGGGGUGCGGUGGGAGUCGGCACGCGCACAGGUCGUGGCAUCUCGUCAAGCGUGUGGUUGCUGCUGCAAGUGCCAGCGUCGUUUGAAACAAUAUUUGGGACAUUGGGCAAUUGCCACUUUUGGGAGAGCAGCAGGGAGAGGAGGGGGAACUAACGGAUUAUGCGAGACGGGUGCUACUGUGGGCAGUGCCUGCUUUGCAUACUCAGCACGAACGGUAGGAAAUACGGGACGCCUAAUGAAUGGAUACACCGACAAAGUUGACCGGGGCAGGGUCAUGCAGACUUGCUCGUUGCUGUUGCAAAGCUGGUAUACGUUUUAAAGUAUGGACAUAGCUUAACGGAAUAAUCCGCGUGGAGGCUCUGCUUUGACAAUUGGAUGCGCUGGAUCUUCGAGACACUCGUGACUUUAGCAUGGCUUUAGAGUACAACUCAAUCCUGCGUCUUCAUGACGGCCUGCAUACUUCAGUUUUAACGGGCACCUUGUCACUUUGUAGAUAGAGGACAUCAGGGUAAUGUGACGACGCGCAUGUACAGGAAGGACGGACAGACGACCUGCAAGCGCUUGCUGACCAUGGGGCCUAAGACACGAUCAUGCGUGUUUUACAGGGAAGCUCAGGAAGUGGGCACCGGUAUGUUGCGUCCUGUGCCCUUUGUGUGCUGGGGCACUGAGCACUGCAUGUGCAAUUUGGAUGCUCAUCGGAUGCUAAGUGUUUACGUGCCAGGUCUCCAGGUCUCCUUCGCAAGAGGCGCCGGACAGCCGCGAGUAGAGAAGCCGGAGUGCCACCGCGUUACUAGGUUGAGAACCGUAUUUGGGCUACUUGCCUGGAGGUGGCGACCCAGUUAGUCCCCGGAGAGGUUACCCCACUGCGGGCUAACGACCCAUACCCACGUCGCAGAGAUUGGUUGUCGGUUACCGGGUGGUGCAUCCAGGAGGGAUGAGGCAUUAUGCCAGACGCAACAUUUUCUCACCCCACAACAACACUGUCCAGCAGCUACCAGCACUAAAGCCCUAGCCGACCUCUGUUCAACGUGUUUCAACUUCGGACCCGUGUCCGGUAUUAUAAUCCUUCUUCCUACGACACGUCUCAAGCCGUUAACCACCGGGCCACGUGCAAUCCAUGUCCUUUGCAAUUGGCUUACCUGCAACCCUGCCAUGCCGCCAGGCCCUGGGCAGUGCAUCUACAGUGUGUCCACCUCACCAGUGUACUACCCGGGUGCUUCAGCCGAGCUGCCCGAACAGCUCCCUACCUCAUCCCACGUUGAUCUUUGGUCCAAACAAAAUGUGAGGACAGGACUCUGUCCUCACAGCCGCUGCCGCCAGUUGCACGAUAAGCAGCUAGCGCGGCUAGCCGUUCGGUUCUCAGCGUAGCAUCAGCCGCUUCUGAACGCACGAAGGACCGGAACGCCUGCUUCGUGAGCGCCUUGCGCCUUGCGUCGUCGGUGAACUCGGACCACAGGUCCAUGAGGUGCAUGUUAUAGUCGUCUAGCUGCGCCAUCUCCUCCGUGGUGAAGUGGAGGCCGUCAGUGCGCGCCACCAGCACCGAUCCCAAGCCUUGGACCUGCACACGUAUCGGUGCAAAACCUUUUGCCCGGUGCGGUAAUGUCGAAGGGGAGGUGGGACAGAGAGAGGGGCGGUCAGGAAGGGGAUUGGCUCACAGGUGGCGGCAACAGAGUCGAGGGCCAGCCAGGCAUACAAGCUGACAAUCAUCUCGCAAACCGAAGGGGUCAGGGCAACCUGUCAGGGCAACCAUCCAGACAGCUGCAGCAGCGGUAUAUCCACCCACCCACAACCAAACGAACACACUAGCUGGAGCAGCAACGGGUGAGCUAAGGCGUGCGCCUUGAAACAAGCUGCCUGGCUGAUAAGCGCGUCGGCGACAUCGCCGCCUUGAUGUAAAUAAAACUUCAGGUGCCCACCCGGAGAGGACUGUAACAGAAUUACCAUGGCACCAAGGUAGCGCGUAAGAUGCGUGGCGGAAGUCCUGGGGCUGGCACGCGGACAACUUUACCAAAGGAAGCAGUACAGUUGCAUGUGUGUAUUCCGCUCUCACCUGAUACCGGGUCGACCAGGAGGUACACAGCUAUGCUGCGACCCCCCGGUACUGGUUCUGACCACGGUGUGAGCUCCAGUAGCGCCAGUGGCAGACCCAACAUCGUCGCCACCUCGCACCGCUGCCAGCCUGCCGGCAGGUUGCCGGUUGCCGCCGCGGUCCGCAGGCCCCUGACGACCUGCGCUGUACCAUUACUCUGGUAUGCAAAUACGUCGGUGCAGGCCGGAAGUAUAACAGAGCCGUGCAAAUAUACAGCAGCUACCGUUCCUGGAGGCAGCUCAGUCAGGUUGUUGGGCCAGGCCCACACUCCGCCGGGCCAGCCCGCCACAGCUGCGGGCGGACUGAGCAGUCGUACGGGCAGGCGACCGUUGUCCUUCAUGGGACCCAGCACUGUCCCGAUGGCCCCAUUGAGCUCUUGCACGGAGGAGAGGCCGCCCAGUCGCACCACGCUGCCGACUGGCGGCAGCCGGGUGCCCGUGGCCUGAGGGGCAGACACAGAGGUUCGUGUAGGUUUUACAUGAUGAUGGUGGCUGGCCGAGUACGACACGGGCGCCCUCUCUUACCUCCCUGGAUCCGCUAAGGUCGUUCAUCCGGGGCAGCAGCAAACGGCCUAACGGUCGAUCUGGGGCUAGCUCGGCCCGUUAGUCUGCCGCGGUUCGGGCUCGAACCCCGCCGUGUGCAGCACGGGACGUUGCAGGGACUAGCCUUGGGGGGCCGGUGUCCAAACAACUCGCGCGAUAAUGUGAAGUGUGAAGGGUGGGACGGUGGGAAUGGGCGCGGGGAACGCAAACACUAAUGUGUAAGAAGCGUGCUGGCCAGUGCGCGCAGUUGCGUCAAAGGCCAAAGGCUGGCUGCGAACGUUGAGUGCACCGAGACGUUCGUACUGGCUCGAAUAAGCUGAUAUGGAGCAUAACCUUGAACGCCUUGAGCAUUAACAGCUCGAACCCUUCCGUUAGAGAAUCGUUGAGCGCAUGUUGUAACCCGUGCUUAACCCGUGCCAACCCGUGUUGCAUGACUUCCUGCUCGAUACAGUUAAAGCCUUUCAAAUCAUUUCGACUCGAUUAUGGGGAAGUAUGCUAAUGGGAUCAAUUUGAGACGCAUUAGCCGGGCCCUGAUUGCUAUCAUUGAAAAGGCUGAACUGCUGGGCCCCAUGCAGCGGCUGCUGUUACAUCUUUGGCCUCCAUACCAUAAUCUCAAAGAGGAGCAUGUGCUGUGCGCACUGCCAAUCAUGGCUGAUCGCCAGGCAGCUGCUGCGAAGUAUGUCCCUUUGGCAGUGCGCAGCUCCGCACCUGCGAUUGAUGUGUGCCGUACAUAGUUGGUGACACACCCCUGUCCCGGCAGUGAAACUUUCGGUAUUGACAUACGAGGAUAUCCAUGACAGUAGACGAACACCUACCCUGUUAAGUCUACACGGAAAUAUUGCAGGUGAACGUAGAGUAUGACCUGCCAUGGCUGCGACUAAAAGCGAAACUUAUGAUGUGCCCUUAAGGAUUCGUGAACAAUAGAAGAUAGGUACAGCAAGUUAUAUAGGUGGUUGCCAAUUGUAAAAAACUUAGGUAGUGAAGCCAGUGUAAGAUGCCAAAGCGCACGACUCUUACUUUCACAAGCGAGGACGGACCCCGCGUUGACUCAACCAGGCUUUAUGUGUACCAUUGCAAGUAUUCAGGGCGUCAUGCUUUUACGAUAGGUAUGCCCGCACAUCUAGCUUGUACUACCGCAGCGGCGUGACCCUGCCGUCCCAACAGCACACCAACAAACGCAGAUGUGGACUUGAGGAAAAUGCCACGGCGCCGAACGGACGGCGCGUAUGUCGUCAACACGGACGAGCACACGGUGAAGCUCUACACCACCGACGGGGGUGUGAAAUUCAUCAAGCGGUGAGCGAACACUGUCUCCGAUAGGACAUCAGCGGCCCGGGAAGCUAAUACCGGACUCUAGUCCAAUGCCCUACAUGUCCCCACUCGCCGGGCGUGUGCAGUCCGGCGGUCGAGCAGUUGAGGCGUGCCUCCGGCGGGAGGUGAUCAUGGCUCGCCGCCUAAUGACAUUCGGCCUCUCCCUCCCUUUCCCCCCCCCCUCCCUCGCAGUCAGAACGGCACCGUGGAAAAGCAGUACCGUCUGAACCUGGGCCAGCUGCCCAUCGCCUACAAGAGCGACCUCAACAGCAACCUACUAUACAUCAUGGACGGGGCAGUCACCACCUACAGCAACCAGAACGCACGCAGGGCGGUGAGCCUCAACACAACGCGUCUAAUGAUGUCGAUCACUGGGGAAAGGGGCUCUCGCGUGUCGCUAGGUGUGCCUCCCCCAGCAUGGGUGGCCUUCAGCGUCUUCACAUGCUCCCUAGAGUUCCCUCAUGGCCGUGGCCGUUGGUGUCUGGAGAGCAGCAGCGAACAGUGAAAGCACCGCGGCCCUUGCAGGAACCCUCGGAGGUCCUCUUGCUGGUUCCGCUUUAAAACUCAGACCCCUACUCCAAGCACCGUCAUUCCGGACCACCUUGCUGGUCCUCUUUCUCUACCUUCCUUCGUCCGUCCGUUCUUCCCUUUCAGGGCCGGCUGCUCGUACCCCCUUGCAUCAGCCGCUCCGAGCGAAGUGGGCUAGUGGAGAUGAGGUUGGAGCUGGAGGACCGGUCACACCGCUGCACACUAUCUCGGGUCACCGCUGACGUGGUGCGGGUGCACGUAACGGGCCUUAUGGCCAACGAUGCGGUACACGAGGAACUGUUCGACCUAUUCGCCAAGGUGAGUGCGUCGGAUGCAAUGAAGGGGCAAGAGCACGCUUGCAUAGGUCGACGGGUAUGAAGUGGUGUACAAGCAGGAAACAUGACACCGGUGCGGAUGGAGGGGACGCCCUUACUCCUGUCUACUAUCCAGCGCACAUUGCCUUCCCGAUCCUCUCCCCUCUGCUGUGCCGCCUUUUCCGCUACUCUUGCCACAGGUUCUCAACGUACGGCUCUCUCAGCUUGAUAUUCGGAGGGCGAAGAGCAGCCGCAACCGCAUCAUGACCGUGGAGUCACUCACCCCGGAGCAGGUAGGGGCCAGGGGGUUCAAAGCGGGAAGUUGCUUUGAGGGGGGUUCCUGACAGACCCAUGGGACUGAUGAGGUUGUCGCCUCCGCUGAGCCAAGUGCCCUGUCCAAUUCUCAACAUGCAGAUCUACGAGCGGUUACGUGAGGCGCUCAAGAAACAAGCCACGGAGCGGGCGGAGAAGCGGCAGCGGCGGCACAUGUAAUUUUGGCAGGGGUUAUGGCAGUAGUGACGCUUGUGGGUUGGAUUGGGAGCAAUAGAUGGCAGAUACAGAUACACACCUAAGAAGGGAUGUGAAGUAUGUGUACAUAAGGCAGUUCGUCAUGUUGUUUUGGUUGGUUUUCAUCGUUUACUUGUUUCAGGUGCUGAGGCUGAUGGUGCACGUUUUAACCAGUGACGUGUGUAAAUAUCCACAAUCUUUACUAAUUCCCAGCAGUGAACGUUGAGUCAGUGUAGUAAGGGUUGAGUCACAGGUUUUGGUAAAAAUGAUUAGAUUACAUAGUCAUACUGGAUGUUGGAUUUACGAAUAGCUACCAAACAUAACAAAGUUCGGAUCUGUUUCAUGGUCAGAAGUCAACACAUAAACCCUCAGUAUAUGCCUGCUAUUCAACCUUGCCCGAAGCCACUUGCGCAGCAAUAAUAGCCAUCACAAGUUCACUCUGUUCGCUAAUUGUCAGUCGCAGCCCUGACUGGAAACCUGCCUUUUCAGACGCUUUCAGUCGGCACUUAUCCUGCUUAGGAAACACACAUCCAACAUACGACCGUGGUAUUUAUGAGAUACAUAACAUCAUGGCAACCAACCAAGCCGGCCCGACGCAGGACUCGCAGUCAUAAGUGGGGCCUGUUCCUGGAGCGUCAGCAACGGUGUCAGUACAAACAAACGAACACUCUAUAGACAAGUCAUCUCUCCAUCGCUUUCCUUUCCCGUAUCAACAGGACAAAUGGACAAACACAAUCAAAAUUACAACUGUACAAGCUCGCUCGAUCUUCCUGCAACAACGAACCACUGCUGGCGGGCAAAACUCUUUGCGUGACAGACAGCUCUCGUUAACAACCCGAUUCGAAAGCGUAGCCAAACAUAGUAUGGCAUCACUAAACAUCAAGACUAGCUCAUCACAGCACCAUCCGCAUCUCCAAGACCACACUCGCGUGGCCAUUCAUGCCCUCGCCACGUGCUCGGGCUUGAACCUCAGGGCAACAAAACCACCACAUCCUGGAUAACACCACCGCGCCCUUUGAAAACUCCCCAUCGAAAUAGCCCAAGCGCCCAGCCCCGUGACACGGCCACUCCGCAAUCGCCCAUAUUCCUACGUAAGCAUUAAGCAUGCAUCGAUCCACCCGCAAUCACGCACCCACAGCAUGACCUACGCAGCCUCCCACGCGCUGAUCCGCUUUACGCAGCCUGGUAGGGAAUGGACACACCGGGCGCGUCCUUCUUCAGGUACUGCUGCGCCUGGCUGGCCAGCACGAUUUGCUGGAACUCAUCGCCAUCAAUAUUCUCCUUCUCGAUCAGCACAGCGGCCACCUUGUGCAGGAUGUCAAUGUUGGACACCACCAGGUCCUUCGCGCGGCGGUAAGCCCGCUCCACCAGCUCCUUCACCUCGUUAUCAAUCUCGUCAGCGGUCGCCUACAUAGCACAGUCAACGCAGCGAAAGCGAUCAGGAUUACUUUAUGUAGUAGAGAUGCGUAUGGAUGGUCGGGGCGCAUCCACCACAGGCCAUCGGCACAGGACGCGUUUGCGCAUGAACCACCUUGCGUGGUGGACCGCUGGAUGCCGAUGUAGAAGUGGACACAUACAAACGGAUGCAGCCGCAUGAUGCGCGUGGCUGCAUCGUUGCUAUAUAAACUCGCAUAGCACGGCAAUCUAUACAGCCGCUUGUGAACCCGGCCUCCAACCCUAUGGACCUUAUAACACCAUUGCACACCGCUAUUUCUACCGCUCGUUCGCGUGCGCACCUGCGAGAAGUCCGCUGGCUGCGCCGCCGAUGCGCCCAGGAACUGCGCGCCGCCGCUUGACGACCACGCCACCUGGCCCAGCUUCUUAGAUAGGCCCAGCUGGGUCACCAUCAGGCGAGCAAUGCGGGUCACCUGCUGGAAGUCACCAGAUGCACCUGCGAAAGGAGAAGGGAGGAAUAGAUAAUAAAACAUCAGCGUACAAAAAUAAUACCGCUAAAUAGAUGAUUGUGGACUGCAACAGUGGACAACCCAACAGCCUGUCGUAAUCCAUGCCACCUCCCAGAUGCCCAUACCCAAAUACGACCUAUCGCAGCCCCAGCGCCACCCAACGCAACCCACCUGUAGUGAUGUCGUCCUCGCCGAAGAUGAGCUCCUCCGCAAUGCGGCCGCCCAGCGCCACCGCCAUCUGGUUCUCCAGAUAGGUGCGGCUGUACAGACCGCUCUCGAGCCGCUCCUCGCUAGGUGCGAAGAACGUCAGACCGCCAGCAGCGCCACGAGGCACAAUCGAGAUCUUCGUAACCGGGUCGUACUCCGGCAUCAGCGCGCCCACCAGCGCGUGACCGGCCUGGAACACAGCAAACCAUUGCGGCAAGUUGCCAGUUUCUCAGUAUUUCUCAGGACCUUUCUGUGCCCUGCGGCGGUACGUCUAGCACCUUUCCGGAAAACGUUGCCCGGCCCCAACUACCACCCCAGUCAUCCCGCACCUCGUGGUAGGCCACCAGGCGCCGCUUCUUCUCGCUCAUGACGGCACCCUUCUUCUCGGGGCCGGCAAUGAUGCGCUCAAGUGCGUCCGCAAUUUCCUCCUUGCUGAUCUCCUUCAGGUUGCGCCGGGCUGCCAGAAUGGCGGCCUCGUUCAUCAGGUUCUGAAGAUCAGCGCCUGCGUGGCCCCGGGCAACAAUAUCACUCGUGAGCUAGCGUGACCCGUCUUCUCCCGCGAGACAUAGAACACAAUUCUUUCAUAGGAAUUUUAUCCUAGCUUACUUGGCUUGCAACAUCCCCUUCGUGGAGAGCUUAUGAAAGCAGCUAGGCACAGAUCAAACUUGUGGCUGGAAAAAAGACUAUCCUCACCGGUGAAACCCGGAGUACGACGGGCGAUCUUCUCCAGGUCGACGUCCUUGCCCAGUGCCUUGCCGCGAGAGUGCACCUUGAGAAUGGCCACACGGCCCUGGACGUCGGGCCGGUCCACCGUGACCUGCGAGCGAAGGGUGUGGAAAACGCAAUGAGCACAGAAACGUUCGGUCUCAGACGAUCAGACAGUUAAUCAUGUCCAAACAAUAGUCGACGCUUGCAGACCGAAGAUUGCCCCAUACAAGUAUAUUCAGGCUCCAGUACGACUGCAGAUAACUCAUGCCAAGAUAGUGAAAACCAUACGCACUCGUCUCCGAACUCACCUGGCGGUCGAAGCGGCCUGGACGCAGCAGCGCCUGAUCAAGCACGUCGGGUCGGUUGGUGGCGGCCAGCACAAUAACACCCGUGUUGCCCUCAAAGCCGUCCAUUUCCGUCAGAAGCUGGUUAAUGGUCUGCUCGCGCUCAUCAUUGCCGCCACCCAUGCCGGCGCCACGCUGGCGACCCACAGCAUCAAUCUCAUCAAUGAAGAUGAUGCAGGGUGCCUUGGCCUUGGCCUGUGGCAAGGGCAGGUGUAGGGCAAAUAGCAGGCAAUGAGUCCGUAUGCUCGCGACAGCGUGUCCUAGCGACAUACGCAAGUAGAUUGAGAUUGUCACAGUGAACCCCGAUCGGGUCGAGUGCAGCAUUCUAAAGAACAGCAAACUGCACUACCAACAGGCCGAAGCCAUGGACGUAAACCUCCGCAUAAUGAAUACGAGUACGGAUCAGUGAACUCUCCAAAGGGGCCCGUGCGGGAUGCUGGUUUUAAAGGUGCUACCCAGCCACACGGCAUCUGCCGCUGCGCUUACCUUUUCGAACAGAUCACGCACACGCGAUGCACCGACACCCACGAAGACCUCCACGAACUCCGAGGCAGCGCAGGAGAAGAAGGGCACACCGGCCUCACCGGCCACGGCCUUAGCCAGCAGAGUCUUACCCGUGCCGGGGGGACCCACCUGUGCGGCGGUGCAGGGGAUUACGGACAAGGUAAACUUCGAUAGAACUGGAUCAACACAUGUCCAGUUGCACGUAGAGCUAGUUCGUAUCGACUCUACGGUGGCCCGGAACGCAGCAGAGAGACCACCAGACACAAUCCGGUCCAAGGAGUCGUACUUCUAUACUACUCCGAGGUUGAGGCCUUGAGCCAACGGGUUUAUUUGGAUGUCGCUGAAACCCCAACCCGAAAUGCCACCGAUAACGACAUGCAUGCCAUUGAUAACGAAUAAAAAACGAUGACCUCGUGCGCACAGCAAAAUGGAAUAGACAGCUGGGACUCACCAGAAGACAGCCCUUCGGGAUCUUAGCUCCCAGGGCCGUGUACUUGUCAGGAUUCUUCAGGAAGUCAACAACCUCCUGCAGCUCCAGCUUAGCACCGUCGCAGCCCUGAUAUGUCAAGAGGAGCACGAAAUCCAGUUAGGUCAGUGCAGGGUCGUAUACGUUUUCAAAAACCCAGGCCGUCGUGGAAGAAUGCCCAUGAACCAAUCAAAUACGAAAUCAGCCGUACUUACACGAUGUAGAAACUCGAAAAUCUGGUGAACUCAAGACGGAGACCUAGGAGCCAAUAAGUCAAAUCUUCCAGGGGACAGAAAAGCCCUAAUCCGUGCACAGUCGUGCAAAUGCAAAUUUGUCAGGUAUGCCUUGGUAGCUCCCCGUGCGAGGUGCCAUUUGACGACAUACAUACAAUAUUACCAUCUUGUGCACGGAAAAUGAGAGCAAUUCAACACAAGAGUGCCAUAGGAAUCGACGCGGCAGAUAAUGGCAUCUUCGCUAAAUCGCUAGAGCCACUUACCGCAACAUCAUCGAAGACCACACCCGUCUCCGGCACCUCCUGGAACUUGCUCUUCGAGCGGCCAAAGUCCAUGGCGCCGCCCAUAGGGCCCAUGGGACCGCCAGCACCGCCGUUCUGGCUGCGGCGGAAGAGGAAGAACAGGCCACCGAAGGCAAUGAGCGGGAAGAGGAUGUUGCCCAGCAGCGCCACAUAGUUGCCCUGCUGGUCGCCCUCCGACACCGAAAUAUCAACUCCAUUCUUGGCGAGGAUGUCAACCAGGUCGGGGUCAUUUGGCAGCACAACGGUAGCACGGCGCCCGUCAACUGCCGUCAGCUGUAGCUGGGAGCCGUCCUUCGAGAAGCGCACGCGCUCCACCUUGCCCGCCUCCACGGCGUUGACGAAAUCCGAGUAGCGCCACUGGUUGCCCUCAGGGAGCUGGUACUCCGAGCGCACCUCCGGGGCGGUCAGCGGCGCGGAUGCACCAAACUGCACGGACUGCGGAGCCUGGUUUAUGGUGGUGGUGUUCGUCUCUGGCGGAGGAGCGAAAACGUCGGCUGCGGAUGCCACGCCAGUCGUCGACAACGACAGCAGCGAUGCAAGGGCAGCCUUUGGUAGCUUUGCCACCAACUCCGAGGCGAGGUUUUCGGUCUGUUGGAUUGGUGGGAGAAGACGCGUUACUCAAGUUAUAGCCAAGCGCGCAUAAGCGUAUGUGGUCCUAUCGACAAAUCCGCGCAAAAACAACAAACACACCAGGCACGCAUAAUAAAAACUAUCUUCGUUUAUUACGCUUUCAGAUGGGUAGCUCCAUAGGUUAGGGUAGGGCGCAAACCAAGCAUGAGAAGAUCGGGGUGGAGCAUUAUCGCGGAUCUCAGCCAGCGCUCACAAUCACAAACAAAAAUAGGUAAGCGUGGACUUCAGUAAAUGUCCGAGAUCGGAUUGGAAGCUAACUAUACUUACAAGCUGCUUGGCGGAGAACUUCGCGGUAACACGGCUAGGCCGUCUAGGGACACCCAGGAGCUGGGAGCGAAGCGCCUCAGUGUUCCGCGCAAAUGCACGACGACCAGCCUUGGUGGCCAGAGCCUCCGGACGAGUAGCGAAAGACAUGACUGGGGUUCGGACAAGUUGGUAUCAAACGAUAUGUUAUACAGCUAUAUCACUUUACAAUUGACACCAAUGCAACACCUGACUACAGAUCUUGUAUCACAUCCAAAUGCCUGCCCGAGGCUUUAUGGCGCAUGGUUGCGUCAACUGAGUGGCCCAAAGGAGAUGUACGGCUUCUGGUUGAGCGUGUGCUGGCUAAAACAAGGAUGAAGCUAUCCAACACUUUGCAGUGGUGAAGAGGCACAAGUUCAUUCUACACUACAUAUUCCACGGAGUAUAUGCAACAGAUUUCUUGGGCGUCCACCUGACAAACGAUGUCUUCCACCAUUACACCGCCAUAUUCGACACAUGCUCUGACAGUACCUGAAAACUUGCUAUUUGCGUUUCAAGGAUAUACGAAGACCUUCUGGUUACGAACGGAGCUCACCAAGCCAAAACCGGAGUUCACCCCGAGACCGUUCUCCCGGAUACCCUCACUUCAAGCAUGUCCACGCGAUAGGCUAAACGAAUGUCAAUAUACUUCAUCCCAAAUUUCCAUCCUCCGAGCUUCAGACGCACUCGAACUACAUCACUAACGCCGUAAGGCGCAGAUACAAACACAGACACGAACAUAUUCCUCACUCCCUUCAUCCAAUCUGCGAAGCGCUCUGCGCAAUCUCACUGCUCUCAUCCACACUCGCAACCUCAUUCAUGCUCCAUUCUCCGUCAUUAGAAUAUAAUACAGCCUCCAACUCGAACGCGCCAGUCAUUACAGCUCCGCAGGGCCGCGCCCUAGUUGCCACCUCCUUGUGCGCCAGCAUCCUUCUUCUUGCCCAAGUACUUGGCCACCACAGGUGUCAAAGCGACCGUGGGCGGGAACCGCACCGGCGACAGCGCCUUGUGCGCAGCAUACGCCAGAGCAAAGGUGCCCACCUGCCAAACCCCGGGUUACACGCAACAGAAACAUUAGAGCUCAAAUCCAGGACCAACCUGGCACCGCAUCAUCACCUACGCGAGCCGUUCAAGCUCCUGCCUGGCCCAUCACUGAUUCACCUCCAUAACCCAGUUCAGCGCAGCAUGACCCGAUCUCUCAGUUGUGCUGGUUGGGAACCUACGUAUUUCAUUAUUAAACGUCCUAAAAUAAAAAGAGGAAAGCUACUUGCUGGGUCACAAGGGUCAUAAGCCGGCAAGGCACACAGUAUGCGGCCCAGUCCCGCGCUGAGCACAUGCCAGCCCCUAAUGCAAUGACUGUCAAGAAGCCGCUACCUCUUGCACAAGAGGAACACGUCCGGUCUGGAUUCUCUAGUGCUAUCCCUGCAUACCACCUCCCCUAGCUGGGGCACUAGCUGAUCCAACCACCUUGUCGUGCCCAGUGCUGUACGGCCUGCUCCGUAUACAGGGCAACACCCGUUAGAGUGCAACAUGCAAGGUAACAAGCCACUCGUCUUGGCCAAUCUGCGUCUACCCAGCUGGAAGACCCCACCGAGAUGCACCGCCGCCUCUGCCUACCUUCUCGCUCGUGUCGGAUACCUGAAUGCCGAUCUUCGCCAGCAGACCAGCAACGUCCACACCUUUGUGGACACAAAAGGCGAACAGAUUACAAGGGCGAGGUUACAAAGGCAUCAAAUCAAUGUAUGCACAUUGGGACGCAGACGGAAGCGGGGCCCGCCGUGAAGCAUGGCGAGGGACCUGCCCUGUCGCGCAUCGAUCUAUUUCGCAUCGGGUGCCACGACAAGUCCACCGAAGUUGGUACAACCCGUGACCUCUGGGAAUGACACCCUGCCCAAAUCCACUGACUGCUUGACUUGUCCUGAAUGUGUCAUCUGGGAUGUAUGUCUGUUUGUUAAUGAAAUGAGCCAUGUGUAGGCAGUACACAGGCUGGCGAAAUCCGAUCUACGCGUGUGCGCGCGUGUGUGUAUUUCGCCUGUGUCUCGGUGCCCCAUCAGCCUAUCCGCCAAUCGGGCAGUGCACCAACCAGCGUCCCGUUGCGCCAACAGCGCCCCACCCACCCGCGUCCACAGCAAAGUAGCAGGCCGCGAAAGAGACGACCGCGAAUGAAAUUGACGUGAUUAGGUAUGCAGAGCCGUACUGGGUGAGAAGCUGCUUCGCCUGCUCCGUGCUACUUAGUUUGCCAUCAGCGUUCUUUGAGGUAAAUGCCUGUGGUGUGGAAAGAUUAGCAGCGCUAGGAAGGGCAUGGCUGCAGAGUCCAACCAUGCGCAAACGGAAAGGUUGCACGACUGCAAGCCAAGGUUGCCUACCUUAAACAAGCCAGCCUCAAGUCCAUAUUUCUCUGUUGCGAUUUCUGCCUCGGACUUCAUUUCAACGUCGGGCUCCUACAGGCGCCUUGCGAGUUGGAGAAUGUAGAAGACGACUGGUGAGCUACCAAACGACACAGCCUAGUCACUAACCUUUGUGGUAGGGGAUGCCCGAGCUAGUUGCCAUGUAGGCCGGGAUGGUGCAAACGGCCUACGAGUAGGGUGCUAGGUGGUUGGCGCCGCAGCGACCCAAAUAACAAUUGAGGUCCCUUCCCAGCAUGAUGAUUACCUCAACCCGUUUCGCUGACACCGGCGAACAAUUGUGCUGCGGCGCGACAGCUGCAUAGAAGUCUGCAUUUUGCCACGUAUGUUUUGGCUUCUAGAGGCUUUACAGGUAGCCAAAUGCACACACUGGGGCCUAUCCGCUUCGUAUCUCAAGCACAAUUAGACAACCGCAAAAAUUACACAAUGAAUUAUGAUUUUUGGUGGCUUUUUGGCAGAUUCCAUUUUUGGUUUACGCGCCGUACGGCGCAGGCUGUCGCUUCUACCGGAAGUGCGAAACUUUUCACACCAGAGGUUAGCAAGUGUAAUGAAUAGGGGUAGGGCAUUAUUUAAUCUCAACCUAUAGUGGCGUUUGACAUCACUGGCUCCCUCGCACAUGGGCGAUGGCCGCCGAGCAGGCAGGCACAGGCACUUCAGGCUUUGCCCCUGGACACCACCUGCUUGAUGAGGCUCUUAGGGACUGGAGUAUUUUAUCCGCAGUCUUAAGCGGCACAUCGGGGGAUGCAAGCUUGCUCCUUUCACGGCGGCUUGGGUGCGCUCCAGAUGCCGCACGCGCAUUGCAGCUCACAGACAAGCUUCGUCUGUACCUCCACCUUCCCUUACCCUUGCGGUACGUGCCGAGAAAUCUAAAACAACGUGUCUUCCUACCUCCAGUCCUGUCGUACCCUCGUUUCCGUACUUCUUAAAUGCCUUUUCCCUGCUGCCCUGUCCUGCAUCCGCAAACCAGAUUGCUGCUCCAUCAUCACAGCAUCAUCUUGUCGGCGCCUUCACUACCGGACCUGGCCCAGCUGUUGGACCUCCCACCGCAGCAGCUGGCCCCUGCAUUGGACGAGCUGGUCGCUGCAAAUUCGGACGCCGUACAGGGCGCGGGCACAGACGCAGCGUGGCGGCAGCGCUGGAAGCCGGCAGCUGGAAGCCCCGCAGCUGCUCUGGCCGCCGGCGGUGGCGGUACUGGCUGCGGCUCUGUCAGCCCCGGCGAAACGCUCCUUCUGUUCCACACCAGCGGCUGGCUCUCCUACAACGCACGGCGCCGGGGACUGGCCGGGCCGCAGCGGCCGGAUUCACACGAGCAGCAACAGCAACAGCAGCACACUCGGCUGCGGCGUUACGAGGAUUACGGUCCCGGCGUUGCUCCUGACGGGGCGCCGCAGCCGGAAGUGCGGGGAGAGGAAAGAGCAGCGGCAGGCGCGGGUCGCUCAGAACCGGGGACUGGAGCGACAGGCGUUGGUUUCGGAGCCACAGCCGUAGUUGGGAUGGAGGUCGAGGCUGGCUGCUUUGGGCUAGAUGUUCACAAGGUUACGGAACAUGGCACAGAUGUUAAUCUCCUAGCCAUAGGGCCCGAUGCCGGGCGUGAUUGCCGGUACACCUGGCAUCCGGGUUUACAUCCCGAUUCAUGGAACGAGGGCUGGAGCCCGAUGGCAGGACACCGCGUCGUGGUGGAGGCGCUGGCUGUGGAGGCGGUGGACAGUACGGGUGACGACGCCGCGGUGCCGCCGCCGCCGCCGCCGCCGCCAGGGGAAACUUAUCCACGGUCUUUCAGCACGCAGCCGGCCGUGGCGCUGGCGCAGCUGUACGGCAGCUGCCGCACACUGACCGCCGUCGUGAGUCGAGGUGCCGGCGCCGCUGCCGCCACCACCGCGAUCUCGGCUCCUGGCAGCAAGGCGGGGCCACGGCUUACCCGGAUAGAGUACGACAUGUACGACACGCCUGGUUCGCACCUGCAGCGGCACCCGCUCGUAGGUGUGUGGCCGACUGGACAGACGCGGGGAUAAGCCCCGCGAAGGCGACACAUUGCCUUUUGCAGUCCUAUCGACAUUGAACCUUGACCUAGGGUUAGAGCCCAGGGAUGUCUAGGCCGUCGCCCCGUCCGCAGUCGCGGCGACCCGAUAUAUGGGGGGUAAUCCGUUUCAUGAUACCGCGCUGUCCUGCUCCGCGUCGUGGGUGCCUUUCUGCUGUCCUGUCCUCACCCCCUCCCAGGCUCCUCCCUGGACCGACUGCUGUUCAUCCGCCUCGCUGCGGACAUGCGGCCGCAGCGUCGCCGGGCGGGCUACGCGGCGGUGCCGUCAGCGCAGCGGCGGCGGCAGCCGGUUCCCGACGGCGCCGCCGGGGCUCAUGCAGCGGCCUUCAGCGCACAACCAGCAACGGCAACUAGCCUGACGCGCCGCGAGGGGGUCGGUGGUGAUGGUGGCGACGGCGGCGGCAGCUGCGGGGAACACGGCGACUCGCUGGUGAAGCUGCUGACGGAGGGUUUGGUGGUGGCGGGCAGGCGCUACCGCCCACUGGUCGCCAAAGACGCAGGGAAAGUUGGCGAGAAGAUCUGCUUCUUCGCACAGGAUACCCUGUCGUAUGAUGAUGUACGACACGGGUUUCGGAGCCUGGGACCGCCGUCAGCGGUCCGGCGACUGCUGGCGGACGUGGACACGGCGGCGGCAGCGGCACGUGCGGCCACCGCUGCUUUUGGUGCCAACGGCGGGGAGGAGGAGUUAGCGGUGGAUGCCGCUGCGGCGGCGGCGGCCAAAGCCGCCAGCCGCCCAGAGCUCUUCCUGAGCGGCACUUGGCCUAUGGUCGUGGACGCCUCAGCCAUUUCGUACACGGAAGACGUUGCGUCGCACAUAGGCGCUGUGAUGACCGACGGCAACGGCCUGAUCUGCGCGCGUCUUGCGAGGACAGUGCCGUACAUAUUCCAGGGCCUGCGGUCGUCACAGGAGCUGCUGCUGCCGCCACCGUCGCCAGCUGCAUGCAAAGGCCCGGAACCUGGGCUUGACGCCGUAACUAAAGCGCCCAGGGCCGCAACCUUCGAUAGCAACGGUGCCGCACCCGCCGCCGCCAGUGCCCUGGCACCAGUGGCGCCGGCGCCAAUGGUGGACUCAGCCGUCCAGCUGCGAGUGUAUGACCCGCGGGUCGGCGCCGUCAUCAAGGGCACCUUCACGCCUGUGGUUUCGGGGCUUCCCCCGGGUGUAUCGCUGCUGGUCCGGGCCUCACAGGUGGGAGCAGGAGGGUGCUGUGGCUGGCUAGUGUCAGUUGAAUUAGUUAAUUAUACGUUGUACGGCAUGUACGGAGGUACAGUAACUCAUCUUCUCUGCACGAGCAACCUUUGUUUCCGUGUGCUGCGUAGGUUACUAUCCCGGUCUGUGUCCGGAGUGUCCAUGUCCCGCAUGUGGGGUCACACCCUGUGGCAUACGGACAGAGGUACAUACGUACGUACACACGGCACUUCAUGGCUGGACUAUUCCGGUAAAACCGCUCAUGCUUGUGACAUCCCGGGCACUUUCUUCUUCUUCACGCGGCUCAGAUGAGUGAGACAUACAUACCGGAUUACAUGAUGUGCGUACACAACGCCCCUAUGCCCCCAGGUCAAGGCGCCCCACUGGCACAAGCUGCAAGCGGCACUGCCCCGGCUGCCGCCGCCUCCAUCUGCUCCCGCCCACCCUCCUCCCCUUCCACCAAGCCCUGGGGGCCCCCCAGAGCUGAAGCAGCUCUUCUCCCCGUUGCCCCUGGGCGCCCCUGGAGCCAUCGUCGAGUCGGCAGCCGGGAACGGGGCCGGCAGGCGAGGCAGGGUGGAGGGGUCUGACGGGGUGCUGCUGCUAGCGCCGCGAAGCCAGUCACCCGGCGUCGCCACCGCCGCGCAUGUACGGGCCGCGAUGGAGGUCGUACGGAAGGUGCCGGCUCGCAGCGGCGCUGUCGCGCACCUCAACGGGCCGUUGCUGCUGCUGUUGAGUGCGUGUUGUGUGGGCGCUGGGUCACUUCUGGAUGUGUUGAAGGACGAGCUGCGGAAGGUGUUGGCGGCGCAGCGAGGCGACUUGGCGGCGGCGAGGGAGCUGGCGGGGCGCGGCGGGGACGGCGCGCUGCUGGAGUUGCUGCAGCUGGCGGAGCGAGAUGCCGAUAUUCCACCAGGGCCAUUGCACUCUGCUGCAUCGCGCGGCGGCGGCGGCGGCGGCGGCGGUAGCGGCGGCGGUAGCGGCGGCGGUAGCGGUAGCGCAGCCAUCACCACCGCAGGCGAGUGCGAUGAAGGCUGUGGGCUGUCGAACGGAGACGUGGCAAAGCCUGGCCGGGAGCCUGGGCGGCAUCCGGGCCACCACCAGCAGCAGCGGCAUCAGAGGGCCGCGGGUCCGCAACCCACCCUGGACUACCGUACGAGGGAACUAUUGCAGGUGCGAUGAGGAGUUGAGGACCUCAGCUGCUUUUCGGUCAGCCAGCGGACACACAGACAUACACACAGACAUGCUCACUUUCCUUUCCUUACCUACGCGUCGUGGCUCACUUCAGCCAUUAAUGAACACACGCAUGUGCAAAACAGGGCGGGGAGCAAGACGGCACGUCUUGCCGGGGGGCUCCGAAACCCUCCUUAUCCCCAUCCUUAUCCCCAACCACCCGAUCCCCCCCGGUGCUGCCAUCCUUCCGAAUCUCCCCUCCCCCAACCCGCCCACACGCACAUGUGCACGUGCGCACACACACAUACACAUAUACACGCGCGCGCAUGUGCACAUGUGUGCUUUUGCAGUCCUGUGCCGAACGCGCCUGGCGGCAGUUGUGGGAUCUGCGGCUGCCGCUGCCCUGCAGCGCCUCCGUGAUGGGUCUGCCCGACCCCAGUGGCAGCGUCCCGGAGGGAUGUGUGGUGGUACUCCCGGCACUGCCGGAGCUGGACAGCUGUCAGGGCGCCAACCCGGGUUCAAAUCACGGCGGGAGCGAUAUGGCCGAACUGGCAGCGGCUACAUCGUCGCCGGAGCGUAUUCGGGGACCGGGGCAAACAGGCGAGCGGGAGGUGGUAAUCUACAGGUGCGCCUGUGAUGGGGGGAAGAAGUGACUGGCUUGUUCCAGGUUGGCUCGCUGGCUGGCUGUGUGGCUGGCUGCCGCAAUCGACACUUGGAUCGACCAGUUGAGGCCAGCAGGAUUGACCAGUUGAGGGCCGGACGUGUGAAGUAGUGAAGAAGACCAAUCCGUCCCCGGGUCCCCAUGCACAGCACAGCACAGCACAGCACAGCACAGAGCUUGCUGCGAUGCCACGUUUCCCGCCUACUGCAUCUCCACCCAUACAUAUAUACAUACAUGCAUAUAUAUGCAUGUAUAUACAUAUGUAUGUUUACAUAAUAGUACUCGUGCCCCACGUGCACAGAUUCCCCGGGCUGCAUCCACGGGACUUGCGGAAGUUCCGUCUCAGCGCCCCGCCGCCCGAGCUGCUCUCCCAGCUGGGCCUUACGUCGCGGCCGCCGCCGCCACCGCUAACAACAACAACAACAACCCUAAGAGAUAGCGACACCGCUCAGGCCAGCGGCGGCGGCGGCGGCGGCGGCGCCUCCCAUAGUGCCUGUCGCGACGGCGGCAACACGGUCUACAAUGCGGGUGUCGGCAGCAGCAAUGGCGGCGGACGGCUGCUGUUCUUCUCCACGGCCGGGUCGCGGGCCCCGGCGAGCGGCCUGUCCGGCGGCGAUUACGACGGAGACCAUUACACCAUCAUCUGGGACGAGCGGGUGCGUGUGUGCUCUUGUGUGUAAGCAUACACAGCUGUACGGCAGGGUACGGCAGGGAAUUAUGGUAGCUAGGAUGUAGCCAUAGGCAUCCCCGACAGUGCUGACGGGGGUUGAUGGUGGGGAGGGGGGGGCUGCAGCGCCCCCCUGGUUGCGGGCUGAUGGGCGGUUCCCGGGUGGCCGUCCUCAUCCGGCCCGCUAGCCAGGUAGGGCCUCACUGUGUACAGCCCCCGCCCCGCCCCGCCCCGCCCUGGCCCCGGAAUGUUUGCAGUGGUCCCCGCACAGCAAGGAAACAGUGUAUGUACAUGUGUAUGUAUAUCUGUGCGGCCCGCCCUGUCCUGCCCCGGUAUUCAAACAGGUGGUGAGUCAGUUUGAGGAGUAUCCGCCGGACGAGGAGGAGGAGGCGGAGGCGGAGCUGGGACGCCACCACACGGCACCGACCCGCGGCGGCAGCGGGAUUGCCGCAUGCGGGGUCGCAGCUGGCGGCAACCGCCGCAGCAGCGGUGGUCGCUUCGAGAGGCCCUCCUCCUCCUCAUCAUCAUCAUCCUCAUCCUCAUCAUCAUCAUCAUCAUCAUCAUCAUCAUCAUCCAGCAGUGGGGAGCCCUUCUCGGCGGAGCGAGUGGUUCUAGAGCCGCCGGCGGCCACCACCACCUUGAGACCGCCGUCAGUGACGCCGUUCCCCUGGGGCAGCAUGGCGCUGGCGGCGGCAACGGCGGCGCCAGCGGAGGCGGUCGGAGUAGUUGUGGAGCGGGAGAAGGAGGGGGAGGAAGGAAAGCCAGGGAAGCGAACGGAGGCGGCCACAGCGGCGGCCCUGAAGGCGGUGGAGGCGGCGGAGGAGGAGGACGAGGCGGCGGAGGCGGAGUACCUCACGCGACGGUACCUGUUCUGUCACGAGGCGGCGAGUGUGGUGACGGAGGCGUAUCGCCUGUGGGGAUGGUGCGCGGAUGAGUACGGUGCGGACCAUCCGUACAGCCUCAUGCUAUGCAGGUGAGCAGCGGGGGGUCCCCCGAGUGCAGGGUUUGGCAUUGCCGUACCAGCGGGGCCGCCCGCCACCUAACCCGGUAGACCAGCGGAGCACCAGGACCAGCAGGAAUCUGCCGCGCCCUCCUCCGGUUCCAACCAUGGCAACUAACGGCAACGACACGACAACGAAGACGGCAACCACAACUAACGUUUACCAACGGCCAUCAACGGCCUCUCCGAUAAGUAUCAUGUGUUUGAGCCCCUAUUCGAGCACCUUCAGCCCCAUACCGGCCCUCAAUCCCCUCCCCCCUCUGGAGACGCACAGACCGAAACCCGCGGCCCCCCCCCACAUACAUCGCACCGCAGCCUCUACAACGAGGCCCUGGACGCGCCCAAGAGCGGCACCUUCCGCCGGGUGCCGUACGCUUUGCGCGACAAGGUACGGCCGCCGCACUGGGCCGCCGGCCCGUCGACGUUGCCGCCGCUGGCGCCGCCGCCCUCCCCUUCCUUCCGCUCACCAUCCCCGGCGGAGUGCGCCUCCGUUGCAAGACUCCUGGGUGGGAUGACGGCCGUGCCGAAAAACAUGGGAGCAGCGGGAGGCGCUGAGUCGCGGAUGGCAGCGGCAGUGGGGCCGGCAGCUGCAACAGGGCCUGCCGCAGGCCGCCACCGGCGGCACCUAGAGAGACGCAGCCAAGAGCACCGGUGGCGGCACCAGGGCGUCGGCGGCGGCAGCGGCAAUGGCCCGUGUAUCAGUGGCAGCCAGCUGGCAGCGGCGGCGCCGGCGCAGAGAAGGCCCAUGGAGAACGGAGGAGCCGGUGGCGGCCUGAUACGGGAGGGGAGGCUGGGGCCUGACGGCUUUGCAGGCCCCCUGAUGUGGUCGGAGGACAGCCCUGACGGGGCGACGGCCGCCUGCGAGGGGGAGGCCGCGGCGCAUGGCGAGGCCGCGGCGCUAUUCCUGGAGCCGAGGUGCGCCCUGUGUGCGUGUGAGUGUGCGUGUGAGUGUGGGGGGGAUGAUGCCCUCGGAAAGGUGUGUACGCCCGGCAUUCUGACUUCACCCAGCCGUGCAGUAGCCGCCCCCGCCCCCGCCCCCGCUGGGGUCCUCUACAGCGGUCCCGUGAGCCCCCCUGCCCGCCCCGGGAGCCGCCAGCCGCCCGGAGGACCCUCCCCACUACUGCCGCUACUGCCGGGCCGCGUCACCUCUCGCUCCGCCCAGAAGUCUCGUCAGUGUUCUGAGUUCAUGAGGAAGCUCUGGGUAUAUGACGUUUUUUGUACGUCGCCGGUUGACUCCGCACCUUCUUCCCCAACGUCAUCAUGGAAUCCUUACUUACUUCAGCUCAACAUCAUUUUCCUACCUUACCUGCACACUGUGGGCCUCUGUGGCUCUGUGCUGCUCCCUCACCCCCUCAACUCUCCCCGCCACGGCAAACCCAAACCGCCCCCGUGCAGGAUCCCCGCGGGGCUGUCCGGCUGGUGGCAGCAGCGGGUGCGCCCGUCCACUUCCAUCCUGGCGAGAAUGCACGAGGUAGCUCCGGGCUGGGGGCCAGCAGGGGGAGGGGCUUCAGGAGGCGGACGAUAAGGCUGGCUGGCUGGCUGGCUGGCUGGCUGGCUGCCGAGCGGCUCGAAAGGCGGGUGUAGGACGCACUGACGUCUGUUGUUUGGAGUUCGUGCCGCAGGGCCCGGUGUGGGCUCCCGGGUGGGUGCUAUGACGGCAUCACUAGCACCGCCACCACCACCAGCACACAUACAUUACAAAGCUAAUACCAUUCUCUCCGCCAGUGCUUCUUGCACGCUAUGGCAAUGCGUACGCGUUUCAAAGUAAGGAACAAAGGCAACCUGCAACGCCAAAAGAGGGGGCCGUCACCACCAUCACUGCCACCGCCGUUAUCCACAUCAGCUCGGAGACCCACAGCCGCUGUCCACGCACCAAACACGUCCGUACCGUGGAUCUCCCCCCGCUCUCCCCCUUCCCCUCGCCCUUCCUUCCGAACCGCAGCUCCUACAGAGAAAGGAAUAUCGCCUGCCCCAGUUGGAUCCAUGGGUCCUGGUGUACGACCUGCCGACAGUACGGCUCGCCGAUACGGCACUAGCGACCCACGGGUCGAUAGUCCGCAGCCGCUUACGAACUCACUGGGCCGAGGCGUCACGCGAGUGGGAACAGCUCAGUCGGGUUGUGCAGCGUGCUCGGGUAGGUGGCUUGUGCGGUUCGGUACUUUAGGUGGGUUUCGGCAGUUGGCGGUUGGAGGCCCUUGAGCCCCUUUCUCGUGGCUUGCUCGAAGUGGGCAUUAGGGUUACAGUGACGGGGUUUACGGACCCCGACGUGUAUAGCACACAUAAGUGCACAUCUCCAGGACUUCCCCCUCGCGGCGCAGUGUGCAUGACUCCUGAAGCGCGAAGAGAGCGACAUGGCGCCACGCGACACGGCCUAGGGCCCCCACACCCUUCCCCCCUGCCAGCCAUCCUCCUCCUUGGCUCCCCUCCUACCUGCCUGCGCGCCAGGACCCUGACCCCUCGCUCAUGUACCAGCAUCAGCCACAACGCCGCCGCAGUUCCGCCUCCAUUGCCACCGCCCGCAUCCUGAGCCGUGUCCUGGGGCAAGCCCACCGAAUUAUGACGGCCAGGGAGGUGGCGGCGGCGCCGGGGCCAGCUCCGUCGCCGCCGGUGAGCGGUACGGCAGUGGCAAGCGGCGAUGACGGCAACAGCGGCAGUGGCGUCGACGGUGGCGGGCAGGGCAUCUGCGGCGUGGAUGCAUGUCCGUGCUGGCUACGGCUGCUGAAGGCACACACCCCUUCUCACAACCCCGGUAUGCAUAUCCGCAGCAGUAGUAGCAGUAGCAGCAGCAGUAGCAGCAGUAGCACUACCCCAAUGGUGGAGGAGCCGCUGUGUCUGCCGGAGGUCUGUCGUGCAGCAGGCGCCGCCGGAGGCCCCUGUUUGCAACAGGCCGCCGUUGCCUGCCAGACGGCGCUGUACGAACAACAAUGGCGCGUCGUACAGCAGGCGGCGGCAACGGGGAGCACGCAUGUCCGGCCGCGUUUUCGGCUGCUGUGGCACCUGUUUGGGCCGUUGCUUCCCGAGCUGAGGCGCCGGGCCAGGUUGGCGACAGCAGGGCAGCGUGCUGUCCAGACAUGAUACGACAUGUACGACAUCAAGUCAUGUAGAACCAAAAGUAAGGUGGACAAUAUGACGUUCAAAAUAUCGUGGCAUGGCAUGCGGUGGUUGGUCUGCAUGAUGAUGCUUGUGAUUUCCCAAGACCCCACUGGUAGCUAGUAGGGGGCCUUCCAAUGUACGUGUACCCACACAAAAUACAGCGCUGCAUGAAGCGUUAUCGCCAGCCUUGCACAGUGGCGUGCAGUGGCUCCUUUUUCAGGAGGGGCUGCCGUAACAGUGUUUGGAGCCACCUCCAAUCUGACAGUGUGAUUAGCAGAUUUCGUUACCGCCGGUGCAGGAGGAAGCUCUGCUGGCAUUGUGUCUGUAUGUUUGUUCUGUUACAUAUCGAUCCGGGCCUGACGCCGCCCAGGGGCACCUAACCGUAUUCCAACGGGAGCGACCGCCGAAGCACUCUUUUCUUACAGCGGGAGGAGAGGGGCGUGAGGGGCCACGGUCCCCGCCUGCUCGACAAAGGGCUCGCGACCUGAUGUGGAUGUUUUUGUGUUAAGUUGGUGGACUUACAUCAUAGGUGUUAACAAUUUGCUAACAGCCAUUGUUCAUUGUGUGGAACAGGGGGUAUAUCUUCACCCGUGGCAGCUACCCUGCGAAACCCUGCCUUCCCCAGUAUUUCGGGGCACCCUCAUCCAGUCACCCUAGUCAACUUCUCAGUGGAUCGCUCAGGUUCCGCACCCACCACCAGCAUCCAACGGAAUCUGCCGGGUCGACUGCGGCGCAACUCCAUUCCUGGUCGGCUCGCAGGUUAACUUUAUCCCAGGUCACCACCGUCCAUCAACUAGGGGCGCAAUACCUUUCACGAGCGGAAGUAUUUUCGACCCUGACAGGUCUCGAUCCCGGGAUUCUCCCGUUGGCAAUGGUCGCCAGAAGUACCAGUAGUGCCUAACCCUGCAUGUGUGAAGCGGUAGCGGCAAAUGGAGAAUAAAACCUAUAGACAAAGUCCAACAGGAAAAAAAACGAGUCCAGUAUCGAAGUGUAUGUUUUGAAACCAAAGUAGAUUCAUUGAUGACGCUAAGAAUUGCCAACAGCACACAAAACUGUCCGCCAGCAGUGUCUCUGCCAGAGCAAUGACACACAUUCCACCUCGGCAAGGUGAAACAGCCGCAAGCCACCGCACUACCUCCUCUCCCCCCCUACCACUACUACCUCCACCCCAUACACGCACAUGUCUACCACCACACGAAUAAAUAGAGAAAUAAAAAAUAGCAAAUAUAGCACGCUAACGAACAUUAAAUUAUGAGUCAUAACGGCUCGCUCGGAAGUCCAGCCUCCUGAUUGCUAGGAGGUGCUUAUAUGCCAAGUGCUGAUGGGAUGUUCAGUGCUCAACAUGGUAUGAGCGAUCCAUGUCCAAUAUGCAAUUUGGACUGUAUGUAAUCCUGCACCAUGGCCAUAAAUCUUAUAAACACUAAAAACACCCCAAAAAUGUAAACUCAAACCACACAGCAACUGUAAUUUAUUAGCAGGCAAUGAACCUACAAACACAUACACAAACAAGGGGCCUAGACUGUAUCUUGUAAACCGCACAUCCCCAUGCCGUGCUGGUGCUGGUGGCGGAUCUCCGUUGGCCGCUGUCCUCCUGGCUCAGAGCCGUGCGGCGUCACAGGUGGGUGGGGUCUUAGCCAUGUGCGUGUGUCCUACUGAUUUGGUGCCCACCACCCCCUCAUCCGCGCCCCCGCUACGGCCACCUGCUGCCGCCUAUCACUCCAGCGCGCGCACGCGAUCUCGGCAGUCUGUGCGCCCUGCGGGGUGUCACACACAUUAUUAUUUCACCCGCGCAUCCCGUCGUCAUCCUGUAUAUGCAUGUAAGCCAUUGACAAUAUGGCAAACCGCGCCUCGCAGCGCAUAGGCCAGUCCAGCAACUGCAUGCUCCAAUUUGGACAGCUAACUUGCGGCCCGAUUGCCUUAGUCCCACGUAGCUCACAGCGCUCCGGGGUGCAUCUUGUAACCGCCGCGUACUGAAGGAUGCCGACACCCCUGUCUCACCCCGCACGCACCCACGACUCGCACCGUGUUCCAAACCAGCCACCAGAAACUCUUCCCCUUAUGAACAGCCCAGCCCCCAUUAGGACUUCGUUCGAGGGGUGUCCAGAGCCUCAAUCAACAACACUGAUCAGGCAGGCGGCUGGCAGAGGUUAAGGCCUGGCUUCUGCACCCGUCGCGUCCCGGCGCGUCCGGGUUCAAAUCCGCCUGCCGACCUCUCGGGGUGUUUGAGAGGUAAUGAAAUGGGAGGUGGCCCCCCAUCUUGUGGACGGUGUAGGAUGUGAUAAUAUCAACUCGCGAGCUGACCAGGAACUAAGUUGACGCGCCGUUGAUCCGUUAGAUUUGGUUGGAUGCUCAUGGUGAGUUGCCAAACUCAAAGAGUACACUCUGAAGUCGGAUGGGGUGAAUGGCUUAGGGUGCCCCUCUAGCAGGGGAGAGCAGGGAAUUGCCUCGGGAAGGAGGCCACUGGUGAAGCUUAACCACCCUGUAAAAACACAGCACGCCACGUCUCCAAUUCUCUCUCCCCACGACACACCCUACAACACGGACACACAAGGAGCUCCUUCCCCCAAUGGCACGAUGUACACCCCUGCAAGCCGAUAAUCAAUGCACGCGCCAUCCUGCCACUCAUACUGACAGUACUAGGUACUGCAAGCUUGCUGGGUCACAUACAUCAGUACACCACACCACACACCCCUGCCUGGUAUUUUGUAGUACACUCGGUCACUAGACACCAACUCGUGCAUGUGUGUUACACUGGACACACUAUGAAAUGCGAUAUCUGUUCGCACCUGUCAGUGAUGGCACGCAGUACAUGCAACCACAAUGCAGCAGUCCUGUAUCGAUACACAGCCUGUGAACGAGACAUAUCAUCAAAGUGUUGGGCCAAGUUGCCCAGGUUCGUCCUUCAGGCUUCUGCCACUCGCUCCACAGGACCAUGCACUCUUAGCCAACCUGCGGCGGUGUUUGCGCCUUGAACUUCCCCAUGCUAUUGGCAACCACGUAAAUCCACGGCAUCUGCAGGUUGUUGAACUGCUUCUUUACCACGCUCUCCGAGAACUUGCUCCCACCAAACGCAAGGAAGACAGCCCGCUCACCAUACUCCGCCAGGUGGAGUGCUUGGUAGUCCGCAAGCACGGUCUCGUCUGACUCCAGCUCAUCAGCACUCAGCCCCUUGAGCCACUCCCAGUGUUUAACUGACGCAAAGAGUUCAGACUGGGCCUUUUUGGCCAUUGUGUCCAUGUUGUGCUUAGCCUCUACCAGCACAACAACAUCACGCCCGUCGCGGCGGCCCACGACCAGGCCAUCGAGGUCACCGACCGCGCUCUGGUAUGGGUACCGGGUGCCAAAGAUGACCUGCCCGUCCUCCAGCAGCUCGGCCACUGCACACGCCACCCCCUCCUCGAUAAGGCGGUCGUCCGUAUCGCGGUAGCCUUUCAUUUGCUUCAGCUGCUCAGAGUGGCCCUUCUUGGCCUCCUGCUUCGCCAGGCGCUUCUCCACAAGAUUGUUGGCCCGGCACUGCUCCAAGGCGAAUGCUCUCAGGCUCUGGUCAGUCCAGGGGCUGUUCACGACGACUUGCUCGCCGAAGACGUCCAGCAUGUCCUCCUCUUCCAUGGCUUGCUUCAGAUAGGGCAUGAACACUUCGAACCCGAAGCGAACUCGCAGGUAGGGUUUCUUUUUUUUGAGGACCUGCAGCACGACUUUAAAGUCCUUCACGUGUGCGCUUUCCAGGCGAUUCGCGUCCAGGUCGAUCGCCAUCGUCGCUGCAAAGUGGAACAGAGAAACAAUUCACAUCCGAGACAGUGUGGCCGAACCAGUGUUGCCAAACCCACCUUUCAGUUCAACCUGGCUUUCCGCAAUCUUCGUGAAGAGGUUGGUGAGCACUCUCGGGUUGACCAUGUGGUCAGAGAGGUCCCAAAGUAUCGCGUACCCGUCUGCCGCAUAGCCUUCAUACUCCUGGAGCAGGUCGUCCGGCGUCAGGUUAUCAAUGCCUCCUUUCGCUUUGUGGCGUAUAGCAACCUCCAU
rnacentral:lncRNA from 1 species